rnacentral:lncRNA from 1 species
CUCAACAGAACACAAGGCUGAGUGAGAAAGAAUUCUUGCUCUUGGCCUGUCUUCCAGCUGGAACAUUGGUAUCCUCUGCUUUCAGACUUGGACUGGAAUUUAACCAUUGGCUCUCCUGGAUCUGGACUUCUCAGUCUCCAUAACUGUGAGCCAUAUAUUCUAUUGUGUAUUGUACAUAAUAUAUGUAUUCCUUAUUUAUAUUGUAUACAAAUAUGUAUUCCUUAUAAUGCGUAUGUGUGUACAUGUGUAUAUAUAUAUAUGUAUAUGUGUAUAUAUGUGUGUAUAUUCCUUAGAUAGAAAGAGGGAGAGAACCAUCCUAUUGGUUCUGUUUCUCUGGAAAACCCUAAUGCAAUAUAUUUGUACAAAGUAUGUAAACAAUCAAAUCCAAAAAGAGCCAAGGAAAGUUCUGGAAGUUCUCCACAUGAGAUGGUGUACGUUCAGAAAUGCUAGUGCUCUUAGAGACAAUCUACAUUUUUCAGAUGGGGAAACUGAAGUCCUGAGAGUGGAAGGACCUUGCCCAUGCCAGUUAUCCAGAUGCCUUCUUUGUAUGUGUGUGUAUGUGUGUUGAGAACACUUAAAAUCUCCCCUCUUAACAAGUUUUAAGUAUAUGACAAUACUGUUAACGAUUUCAAGUAUAUAAUACAGUACUGUUAACUGUAGUCACAUUGGUAUACAUUCCACCCACAGUACUUAUUAUCUUGCGUAACUGAAACUAUGUACCCUUUGACCAACAUUUCCCCACAUCCCCUUCCCGCAAAUACUGCAUGAUCUAAUACGUGGAAUCUAAAAUAGUCAAACUUAUACAAGCAGACAGUAGAAUGGUGGUUGCCACCAAGGGAAUAGGAGAAAAUAUUUACCAGGCACCUUCUUAACUGACUGAGUCUGAUGUUAGGCCUCUUUAGUCCGGACCUUAUACUUUCCCAACUAUAUGCAUACUCACAUACAUGAAUGUGCAUACAUAUUAAUGCCACACAUGUGCACACACAUGUGCAUACACACACACACACACACACACACCCAAACCUCCCUAGAAACUUGAUGGAGAACACCAUAUCACAUGUGUCAGCUGCUUGCUCCGUGUCAGUCAUCACACUAAGUGUCUGAAAUGGAUUAACACAAUAGUUCUAUGAAGUAAGGCAAAUCUUGUCCCUGUUUUAUAAGAAAACAAAGGCUCAGAGAAGCUAAGCAAUCUGCCCAAGGCCAACAGCUGGUAGGCAACCCAGCUGACUUUGGAUCAUGUACUCUUACCCUAGUGAUGAAAAGAGUUUUGGGGUUAGGAGAAUUUUGGCUUUCGGAUCCUUGAAGAAAAUCCAGUUAGCUGAGAGGUCCUCAAACACCAUGUUGGGGUAGGGAAAUUACCUUUUUUCCUGAUUUCUGUCACUGAUGAGAUGACUAGAGCAAGUUCCCUGUGGCCCUGUGGCCCUGGUAGUCUAUAAAUAGGCUGGUGUGAGGCUGCCAAGGGUCAUGCAGUGGCCAGAGUGUAGCUGGACUGCCAUGGCUGUGGUCUUGUGUGCCUGUGGUGGCAGAAAUCCAGGGUGGCCACCAAGAUUCUCACCCCCUUGUGUACACGCCUUGUAUGAUUGCCUCCCCUUGAGUGUGGCAGAUGCUGUAAUAUGAUGGAUUAUCAUUCCUGUUGUUGUUAGGGUGCAUGACUAAGAGGUUUUGCAGAUGUGAUUAAGGUUAUUAAUCAGUUGGCUUAACAAAUAGGAGAGUAUCUUAGUGGUCUUGACCUAAUCACAUGAGUCCUUUAAAUCUGGGUCUAGAGGUCAGUGAUAGAGAGUUUGGAGAGAUCCCUGCUGGGCUGAAAGAAGGCAGAUAUCAAUAUUGUGAGCUGACUAUAGGGUCCAUAGGGCAGGGAGCUGAGAGCAUCCCUGGUUGCUGACAGUGGUCCCAGCUAGAUAAUGACUAGCAAGAAAAUGGGGACCUCAGUCCUACAACCUCAGAGAACUGAAUUCUGGCAGCAAAUUGAAUGAGCUUGAAGAACACAAGUUCCAGAGGAGAUCACAGCACAACCAGCACCUUAAUUACAGCCUGUGAGACCCUGAGCAGAGGACUCAGCUAAGAAGUGCCCAGAUUCCUGACCCACGGAAAAUGUGAGAUGAUAAAUGUAUUAUUUUGAGCUGCUGGGUUUGUGGCAUUUUGUUACAAGCAAUAGAAAACUAAUACAGUGCCCUUGGGCUCUGAGGAAGUGGUGUCUCCACUGCCAUCUUUCAGCUCAGCAGCUGAGGGGUAGCACUAGCUUGGUUUAAUGCCUGGUUUUUGCCCUGAUCCUCAGUCAGGAGAAACGAGUCUUGUAAGUAUGUAUUGGCUAGUGGCCUCACAAUCUGUCCACAGGUAGAUGGGUUCCCAGAGCCAGUGGAUUCCUGACCAGAGUCCUGACACUGGUCAUGUGGCUGAGGAAUGCUAAUGUCCCUCUUUCCUGGAGAGAGGGCUGCUUGUCCCCAGUGAGAGAAAGCCAUUUCUGUUGGCUCAAACCCAACCUAUGUUUUAAAAGUUUUAAAGUCCCUGGGCGUGUACUUUGGCCUCCAUUUCUGGGUGUGCUUAUCAUGAAUGUGAACUUGAAGGGAUCAAUUUGACUCCUGUGAUUCCAAACAUUAUCUGUGUCAGCUUCUGAACUAAGAGCCUUCCUCCUGACAAAAUUGUUAAACUCCAUCCAUCCUCUGUCAUUUUAAGGCAUUUAAAAAUAUUCCACUUUGUUGUUUUUCUUUGGCACUUUCUGCCAGCGUGGUCACAUGCAGGGGCUUCAUGAGGUCCUGGAGCAGUUCUUAGACUUUCCAUCUGAAAAGUCCACUUGUAUGACAGGAACGAGGGGGGGACACAAUGGCCCUGCUAUGGCCUUCCCACCAGUGCCCAUGGGGGAAAACUCACCUUUUCUCUCUUUGGUGGCUAUUUUAAGAAUUGUCACAGUAUCUAAAAUAAGAAUCCAGUAUGCUGCCAGUGUGAGAACUGGCAGUGACAGUGGGGAGGGGGUAAGGGAGGUGAGUGGGAGAUGCUGGGGGCAGCAUCUAAUUCCCUGAGAGUGUAAGGCCCCUCCCAUGCUUUUUGGCUGGGGGAGGCUGAAGCUUCACUCCCACACCCCACACCCCAGCCAGCUACAGACUGAAAGCCCACCUUCUGAGCUUCCUGCCAGGCCUUGGGCCCCCAGGUGAGGACACUGACAUUGUCAUUACUGAACAUGAGACUUUGGAAAUCAUGGUCGAAGGUGCCAUCUCAAGCAGCAGCUGACCCUCUGGGAGGAGGGCAUUUGUCCAGGUCUUCCUGGAGCCACUCCUUUGCAGCAAGCAGGCCUCUGCUCCCUGUCCACCCAGUUAUUGAAUGCCCACCCCUGCCCCACAGCCUCUGUGACAGCAGGCUCUUUUUUUUUUAAUUAUUUUUCAAUGUUUAUUUAUUUUUGAGAGAUAGAGACAGAGCAUAAGGAGGGAAGGGGCAGAGAGAGGGAGACAGAGUCUGAAGCAGGCUCCAGGCUCUGAGCUGUCAGCACAGAGCCCGAUGCGGGGUCCUAACUCAUGAACCAUGAGAUCAUGACCUGAGCUGAAGUCGGACGCUUAACCAACUGAGCCACCCAGGUGCCCCUCUUUUGUUUUUUUUUUAGGGUACUUAUCUUGUUUAUUUAUUUUUACCUUGUUUAUUUUCUUUCUCUCCCAUGACUGAGGGUAGAGACUCCUGUUACCCCCUGCAUCCCCAGCUCUUAGCCCAGGAUGGCACAAGGGAAUGCCCAAUGUGUGGCUGUCCAAGGAAGGCAGCAACUCCAGGUACAGCCCAGAAGCUUCCUUGUUGCAUCCAGCCUCCAGUGAUGGGGUGCUCGCCACUUUGCAAAGCAGCUCUUUUCCAGCUCUCAUGUGUGCUAAAUCCAAUCUGGGGCCUUCGGAGCAAGCCCAGAGCAGCCUCAAGGAGAAAGCAUCUGAGCCAAAGCAGCCUCCAUUCACAGGAAAUGCCCUAAAGGGCAAAGAGGCUGCUGAGUCUGCUCCAUGGAGGGCCCAUCUGCUGCCCAGGUGUGGGGCUCCCUGGGCCUUUGGUUUCCUCUCUUGUGGUUUAAGAAAAUGUCUGCUGUAUCAGCAUGGUAUCGCGGUGUCUUUCCUCCCCAUUCUCCACGGAGGACAGCAUCCAGCAGGCUAUUCAGCCUGCCUGACGGUGGGUGCUGCACAGGGCUCAGCAGAGGGAAAGUGGUUUCCACCAGCCUCCAGGUCCUCAGGGUGUCCCUCUGCUUGCUCAGAGCUGACACAUCCUUGCUUUCCAUUUCUUCUUAUCAUGUAACAGUAUACUCUGUAAAUAUCGUCGCUGCUGACAAGACCAUUAAUUCAUGUUCAUAGAGACUAUUCAGCAUUCUAGCAAUGCAUAGAAAGCAGGAGCAUGUUACAACCCCAUGCAUUUGGGCUCUCAUAGGGAUGCAUCCCUCCUGGCAAUAAAAGAAAAGGAGGGAAGGCAAUGACUAUUUUCUGAAAAGACAGAAAAACUGGCAGCCAGGGAACUUGAAUAAGCAUGAUUUCUCAUCAGUGCUCACUCCACCUGGGAAAUUUCGCACUGGGGCCAGGACACUGUGACAAGUGGUGGAGGUCACCUCCUUGCAAGCUGAUCCCAGAUGAGGAAGGGCUGGCCUGCUUGCCAGUUGCUCAUGCUGGACCCCUGGGGUGCCCUAGAUUGCUCCUCACCUCAUUCCACAUGCCCAUUCCCCUCUCCCACAGGCCCCACUCUGGAGCUGUCCACCUCCCUCCAUCCCCACAGCCACCACCUACAACCCAAGCCUCCACCCUUUCUUGCAACAGUUUCUUGAAUCAGCUGUUUCUAUACCUGCUACCUCCACUACCAAUACCCAUACUGUAGCUGAGAGAUAUUUUACAUCCUGUAGCAGACCAUGUCCCUCUGUUAUACAUACUUAGCCUAAAGCUGAAACUCCUUUUGUGGCUUUACAGGCUUUAUGUGUUCUGGCUUCUUCCACCCUCUUCUCCUUGUCCACAAGGCUCUGACCACUCAGUUUCUCUUAGUCUCCAGACCAUGCUGACCUCAUUCCUGCCUCAGGGCUUUUGCACUUGCUGUUCUUUCUGCUUAGAAAACAAUGGUUCAGACCUUUUCUUGGCUGACUUUCUCUAUCAUUCUGGCAAAGAUUUGGCAUCACCUCUUUGGAUGGCUCCCCUGACUACCCUAGCUGUUCUGUGUUCUUCAUGGGCUUUGUCACCAUCCAAAAUGUUCUGGUUCAUUAUUUGGCUGCCUUGGUGUUUGUCUGCUGACUCCUUAUGUGCCCUAACCAAGAAAAGUGAUUGACAUGAAAUAUGAACCCAUAGGCCAUGUGACUUCCCAAUAUGAAUAAAGGAACACAGCCCCGAGGCUCAGAAAGCACCUGAGUUUUGCCCAGGGUCACAUAGGACACAGGUCAGAGCCAGGUCAAGAUUCCAGAACCACUGGCUUUUCUCUGUGGACCUCAUAUCUGUGAUGUGCCACUCUAGGUAUGGACAGAAUGCUGCCCUGACCAGGAAUUGGGGGCAUAGUUACACUGAAACCCAAGCCCCAGUUUUUCCCUGGGAGCUUACUCCAUGGGGCCAGGUUUUCCAAAGGUGGCUAUGGGAGGAGGCCAGCUUCUGGGUAUUGAUGGAGUUGAUAGAAGAAGCUCUGCAGACUGGGCAGGCCAUGCUUCCCAAGUCAGCUGGGGCAUAGGGCUGAAGGAAGAGAAGCCAGGCUGACAGUGACAGAUUUCCCACCAAGGGUCAUUUCCAGGAUGCUGUGUGCUCCCAGCCUGGAAUCACACAGCCAGUGGGGUGUUUAUUAAUUGCAGCUGUGCUGAGGGAGCAAUGAAAUGGAAUUGGACCCUGUGGUGAUGCACUGUUUGACUUUGGGGAGCCCCAUUUUGAAGAGGAUGGGACAUUUCUGAGGUUGGAGACAGAGCCUUAGGAACUUUAAGUGAAGAGUCUUAGACUGUUGUGUGUGCUUGGUUCCACGCUUUGGGCACUGAAUGUAGGCCCUGCCUUGAACUACAGCUGCCAAGGGUGCAGAGAGGGGAGACACAGAAGGCCUUGCUCCAGAGAGUACACCUUUGGGACAGUGAUGCUAAGUCAAGCUGUCUUGACAAGCCGCCUUGCAGUGUAAGCUGCCAGGGAUGGAGCCUCAUAGGAAUCCAGAGAGAGCUGGCCUGAGAAUCCCAGAGCACAUCAAGGAGGUGCAACACCAAGUGUGCACCCAAGAGGGAUGGUCACUUUUACACAUAGGCCUAAAUGGGAGCUACAAUGCAGGACUUGUUCAAAAGCAGCAACUUUGUCCAGCACAUCCUUCUAGGCUCAGGGAUACGGGGGUUCCCCUCUGAUAUGGGACUCUCCAGGUGAGAAGACCAUGUUUCCACCAGAAUGAGGAGAGGGGUAAAGAGGGACAUGAAGACAGACAGACCUGGAAUCUUCCUUCCUCUAGAGGCCUCACUCCUUAAGUAUGGGAAUGUUCAGGAAUAUGGACCACAAGAUGUGAUGUGGUCCCCCAGAGGCCCGAGACCCUCUCUUCCCUCCCUCUUUGUGCCUCGUCCAGCAGGGCUCCAGUCAUUGCACUUGACUGCUGCACAGACAAUUCACAUCCAUCCUAGGCUUGUGUGAUUGAUUGUUAAAUGAUGGUGACAGUAGCAUUUGCUAAGCACUUACCAUGUCCCAAAAUGCUUGAUUGGCCUCAGUCUUAGGAGAUGGGCUCUAGCCCCACCUUACAGAAGAGAACACAGAGUCUGUGUUAGGUAGUGUUAGGUAACUGUGACCACAAUCUCACAGUCUAUAAGGGGCGAAGCCCAGGUGUGAGCCGAGGGGUCUGGCUGCUGGCUCUGUGCACAGGGUCCCCGGGGCUGUGAACAGGGCUGGGCCUUGUGGGGGACAGCAGGAGGCAGCUCUGAUAACAGCUGAGAGUGAUUUGUAACAUCAACAGCUUCAUCAUGUAAUUAGUCCCUGAAAACAGUCCAUUCUCUUCACUAGUUAAAUCUGUCGCAUAGGCUAGACAGGUGAGAACUCUUACAAAGCUCUUUCUUUACACACAGUGAACCUUGUCCGUGCCACCACAUGCUCUGGAUGUAGGAUUGCAAUUAAGAGCUGCCUAUUCCGUGCAAGAAAGCAACCACCCAUUGCAUUUCCCUGGUGAUGCUGACCUGGGUCCUCUCUCUCCACUCCCUAGAGCAGGCUGCUGUUCUAAUGACCUGGGCAACCAACCGAUGGCAAACCCAAAGGUGCCCCCAGCCUCUACUGCCAAGGUUCCCUGGGUUUGCUAAUUGAACAGACUUCUCUUUUAUGCACUGUAGGAUGGGCGCUUAUUUAUUUUUACUGCCAUCUAGAGAUUAAGGUGAGAACAAGGAGCAUUUCUUUGCCUGUGUGAUGCGUUUCUCUCCUUCUUCCCCACAUUAGACCUAGAGGCUUUGGGACAAGUUGUCUGGGAUCCACGCACCACUGUACCAGCCCAGCCCCUGUCAAUCACUUGUUAAAUGAAUGAAUACAUGAACAAAUGAAUGAUAUUUUGCUUUCAAAAAUUCACCAGUUCUCUGUUCUUAAGAUCGAUUCUAUUUUAAAACAAGAUUUAACUAAUUUAGUUUUUAAAAAUCCAUCAAAUCAUUGGUUUAAAUUGGCUUAUUUUUAAGAAUGGAAUUGACCAUUCUAGUAAUGCGUGUAGACACAGCUGGUGUUAAAGGAAUGAUUAAUUAAUACACCCACAGACACAAAGGCAGAAAUUCCUGGCUCAGAAGUGUAGAUGUGUAGCUGCAGCCAUUCUCCCCACCAGGAAUUCCUUUGUGGAGUGCCAGGAGGGGCUGACCUUCUGCACGUAUCUGUGAGAUAGUGCACAAUUACAUCACCCUCCUUACAGAAGGAAAGUGGUGUCGUGGGUAUGCAGCAUGCCUCCAUCAAACAACUCUCCCUUCAGAGUGCAAUUCCCAGGGGAAUACAAAUAGAGUAUUUACUGAAAUAAAAGGCACGGCAGAGGAGAGUUGACAGACUGAAUUGUGGAACAUCUAGAUAGUUCAGCAAUACUGAGAAAAGAAUGGGGGAUUUGGAGUGGGGCUUGCCUGGGCUCAGUCACUGACUAGCAGUGGCCCUGGGAAAAUUAGUUACCUCUGCUUUGUCAUCUGGAAAGUGGGAAUAAUGAGAGGCCAUAAGGAUUGAUGAGUCCUGCCAAGAUGCAGAUAAACAAUAGUCUGGCAUUUCCCUUUCAGUAGACAAGACAAUGUCUGGUCCUUCCUUCCCAACCGGGGGUCUUCAAAGGACAUUUUCUCAAGUCUGAUUCUCUAGCUCACAGGGUACUAUGGGGUUGAAAUUCAAGGUGAUGGCUGCCUCUUCUUUCACCCUGGGGGUUUGGGGGCUAUACUGUGAUUGCUACUAUUGUCACUGGCAAGCAGUGAAGUGUGGAGUUGGCCGGGCCCCACACAUUGUCAAAGGGAAGGGAAAGUCAUUCUUGGAGGCAGUUGCAACCUUGAUGGUAAAAAGCAGGAGAGGUCCCAAAUGGCCAGUUGUAACCCUACCUGACUGGACCACAUCCCAGUUGGCAUGAGAAUAUCUAGCAGCCAGGGAGGUACCUGGAGACAAAAUCACACAUGGUGUGGGGGAGGGAAGACCCAGGGCAGAAAAUGAAGCCUUUCUUAUCUUUACCCAGGAGGCCUCCCUUUUCGCUCUGGUUCUGUAACAAAAGCCAUUUUUCUUCAGCGGUUGUGUAACUUUGAUGUCCUUCAAGGCACAGGAUAGUGGGUUGGGGUCUUAUGACUGUCCAGCUGUCCAAAGCAGCCACUCCUGAGUAGGCCUUCUGACAUUUGUUCCUGACAAAGUACAUGUAUAUAGUCAGUGGCUCUGAGGGCACAGAAAUCAUGCUGUUACCACCCUACACCCUGAGUCAGAGAAUGAACUGUCCCAGGAAGGAAGGCUUUGAAAUACACCCACCCAUCUAGAGAUUCAGCUCCAUGCCUUCCUCACUGUUUGACCCUGGGAGAAGCUAUUUGAGUCCCCAUGUGCCUGUGUUCUAAUCUGUAAACUAAGAGAGGGAAAUAGGAUUUAGUGAGUGAACAUGCCAUAGUGCCUGCUAUAGUAUGUGGCACUGAGGGGUGCUGGAGAAAUGGAUGUUUUCUGUUGCUUUUAUCCUUAGAUUAGAAAGCACACACACACCAGGUUUGAGACCUGGUUUUGUCAUUAAAAAGUAAGUGCAAGGUCAUUUUACAUCUCUGAGUCUCAGUUUCCUCAUCUGGAGACAGGGAUGAUGAUAGAAACAACAAUUCCAGGUGCCAGGCAUUGUUAAGUGUUUACAUACAUUAUUAUGUUGUGGCAAUUAGAUGAAGGAAUGUAUAUGGAAGUGUCUGGCACAAUAAACCACUCCAUAAAUGUGAGCUAAUGUGUUGUGUAUUUAGCAUGGGUUUACCAUUUGCUCUUUUCUCAUUGUUUCUUUCAGGUACAUGCACAUGUGUGUACACAAGUAUAUCCAGAGUUAAAAAAUUAUUUUGCAUUUUUCCUUGAUUAUUUUAUUUAUUUAUGUUUUGAGCACCUACAUGAGAGGCCUUUGAGGGUAAGGAACCUCUCCAAGUUUUUGCUUGGUCUUUCUUCUUUAGGAUUCAUCAUGAGGAAUGGCCGAAACAUACCCUCUAAAAAUUCCUUGCUUCUCUAAGCUUUUCCUGUUAGACAUAACUCGGUGUCUUUCUGAGCCUUGCCACCCCAAAGAGUUUUUGAAAACACAAUAGAGAGUGACAUUGCUUGUCAGCAGCAAGUGCUGUCAUUGCCUGGUGCUCAUUGAUUGGUUGCCUCUUCAUCUCUGUGCUAAGCAGUAAAAAGACACAAUCUCUCCCCAGGUAUCCUAAAAACUGGUGCUUGCACUUGCUGCCUCCCAAUCUGCUCAUAAAAUGGAAAAUGCAGCCUGAGAGUCAAACUCCUGGCCAUGCAGAUGGUGCUGGGAUGCUGUGUGUGUGAGGCUCAGGGAUGACCCGGGAGCCCCAAUUCAGGGGCCCCAGGGAAAAUCACAUGCAAAUAGGACCAAUCCUUAUUAGUGUCAGCUGUUGUAUCAAAAUCAAUGAUUGUUAUGGCUGUUUGAGAUGGAUGGUAUAGAAUAGCACACCAUUUGUUCAAUUAAAAGAAAUGGCCAGAGAAUUGUGUCUGAAUAAAGGAGUGGGUGGAUAUAAUAAAAAUAGUAAAAGAAAAAAGAUACAACUAAACAAUAACAGCUAACAUUAGUGAGCACUUACUACUCAUAAGCACUUUGUAGACAUUAUUUCCAUCAACACAGCUCUAUGAGUUGUUAUUAUCCCCAAUUUAAAGAUGAGGAAACAGAGCCUUAGAGAGGGAAGGUGUUGAUAUAGGAGCACAUGCCGGUAAGACUUGCCCACAUCACACAGCUAGCAGUUGUUGAAGCUGGGAUCUGACCCUAGACAGAGUGCUUACAAAGGCUAAGAGCUUCCCACAACAGAAAGCAAGCUUCAGUGCCUGUGCCUAGGAGGUAUCAAAAAAAUAGGUAUUUUUGAAUGAAUGAGUGAAUGAAUGAAUGCAUGUUCCUGGUGGACAGGUAUUUUGACUGUUAUAGUCUGUCUCCCAAGUGUGCAGUACGUAGUAGGCUCUCAAAAAGGUCACUGUGCUCAGCCAUAGCUCCCUCCACGAUCAGUCUGGAGGGGUCCUCACUGGCUUUCUGACCACCUCUGCUCCUCCAGAACAGAGGAAGCCUGUCUGAGCUGGACACAAGAGUUGGUUCUGCUGCUGUGGCCACUCAGAUUGUGUGACAGCCGACUUGACACUGAGCAGGGCAAAGGGCACACAGUUGCAAGAGCCAGAUGGUUGUUUCUGAAUCCAAUUCCCUCCUGCUGCCAACCUGCUCUGAAAUACAAUCCAUCACUCCCCAUGAUAGAUGUCUUUGAACUUGGGAGCUUGGCUCUUGAGAAGUGGAGGAGGGAAACUGAAUACCAACCAUCCCUGGUCCCCCAGAGAGGUUCCCUUGUGACCCAAGUUGGCAACAGCUUGGAAAAUGGUGUCGUAGCUCAAAUUAGUGCUGAGCAGACACAGGGCACUGGUGUCCCAGAUGCAUGGCCCAGAUAGCCUGGGACACACAGUCACCCAUGUCUCCAUCAGCAUCUCCACUGCUAACUCCAGUUUUGGUUAGGAAAUCAGAAAUUCCUGAGGGCCUCCUGUAUCUGGAAGCCCAGUACAGAGAUAGGGGUAGGGUGGGGAUGGAGGGGCAGUGGGGCAAAAACAAAAAUAUCCUGAAAGUCCAGAAUGGUUUAAUGGAAACCACAAGUGGACCUCUCUUUACAUUCUAGUCAUAAAUAUGUGCUCAUAUUGAAAAUGUACAUAAAUUAAAUUCUUAUAGCACCAUUUCGUCUUAUUAUUACAGUAAUUUAAUACAUGCAUGAUUAGUUAUGAACUUUUUUGUACCAAAUAACAAAAACAUUCAAGCUAGCGCAAGCAGAAAAGAAAACAAGCAAAAUAAAACAGAAUAAAUGGUUUCUAAGAAAGAGUCCAGAGGGUCUUGUGGAAUUCUAGCAGGGGGAAUGGGAUUGAGUCUACGAAAGUUCUGGAACAGAAGAAUCCUGUGGACUAACUCUGCUAAUUCUGGCAUUGGCUUUACUCUUUUCCCCCUUGGCACCACACGCCUAGCUUGGUCAGCCCUCCUUCCUCCACUAGAAGAGGCUGGCUUCCUGCCUAGCUCGCUAGCCACCUGCAGAGAAUCUGAUUGGUCCAGUUAGUGUCAGGUGUCUGCUGCUGCUCCAAUCAGCUGUGCUCAGGGAGACAGGGCCAAGGAAUAGAAAAAGGUUGUCUGGGUCUUAUGCCUGUGGAUCCACAGGACAGUUCCCAGAGAGAAGGGGUGGGGACUCAUUAGCUAGACAGAUGUAGCCAAAGCAGCUCAUGACAAUUUUUGCUGGUUGCCAAGGUUUAUGAAAAUGCCAGGAAAAAGAAAAAUGAAGAAAAUGCAUUUAGUUUCCUUGGCCUGCCUGUGGUAUCAUUUUAGAAAUUAUUCACCUUUUCUGUGAUUUUUUCUUCAGUGGUUGAUGGCGAAUCUUCAGCUCCAACCCUUUAGUUUCACUUAACAGAGUUUCUACUGUAAAGCUGUUUCUUCAGUCAAAUUUUAUUGAGCACUUACUAUGUAAUAGGGGUCAUUUGGAUGGUAGUGUACUGAAGUGAACAAGGCAGACAAAGAUCUGUUCUCCUGGCACUUAUAAACCACGGAGAGGGAUCAUCAAAGAGUAACGAAGCAGUGGAAGCAGAGAUUCUUUCACGAAGUGACAGGUACUGUAGGAAAAUGACCACAGUGAUGGGAGAGAGGGGGUCUCGGAGUGGAGGGUGACUUCACACGUCAGGGGAGGCCUUCUGAGGAAGGACAUGAGUGCUCCGCCCUUACUAUCAAAAGUCAACUGCCCUGUGCAGGAAGGGCAGAGCAUCGCAGGCUGGGGACAGCUGGGGUGCUGAGGGCAUGAGGGGACCCAUGCAACAUUGCCUGGCAGCAGCACAGUGCGAGAGGCACAGAGAGAUCUGAGACCAGCCAGGAAGGUAGACAGGGACAGGUUCACACAGGGCUUGCCGGGGCAGUGCCAGAACCUGAUUAAGCUUUUCAAAAGUUGUCCAUCCUUUCCCCAAGCUGAGUCCUACCUAGGAAGCAGCAGGGGGAGUGUUAUUAAAAAUACCAAUGCCUUGGGGCGCCUGGGUGGCUCAGUCGGUUGAGCGUCCGACUUCGGCUCGGGUCAUGAACUCGCGGUCUGUGAGUUCGAGCCCCACGUCAGGCUCUGUGCCGACAGCACCAUGCCCAGAGCCUGUUUCAGAUUCUGUGUCUCCCUCUCUCUGACCCUCCCCCAUUCAUGCUCUGUCUCUCUCUGUCUCAAAAAUAAAUAAAUGUUAAAAAAAUUAAAAAAAAAUACCAAUGCCGGAGCCCCCCACCCAGGCAUUAGAUAUUAAAUCAAAAUAUUUGUGAGUAGAGCAUAAAACACACUAUUUUUAUUAAUUUUAUUUUUUUAAAUCAACUUGUACAUUUUCAACGUUUAUUUAUUUUUGGGACAGAAACAGAGCAUGAACGGGGGAGGGGCAGAGAGAGAGGGAGACACAGAGUCGGAAACAGGCUCCAGGCUCUGAGCCAUCAGCCCAGAGCCCGACGCGGGGCUCGAACUCACGGACCGCGAGAUCGUGACCUGGCUGAAGUCGGCCGCUUAACCGACUGCGCCACCCAGGCGCCCCUCAACUUGUACAUUUUGACAAGUUUGACAAAUUCAUACAAACACACUAAAAAUACAUACACCUCCCAGAGUUGAUAUGUAAUAUAUUUUUAUCACCCCAGAAAGUUCCUUGAUGCCUUUUGUAUUAAUGGACUAAUUGGUACCAUUUACCUGAAGUUCUAGCACAGGCAAAACUAAUCUGUAGUGACAGAAAAUUUCUCAGGGGUUGCUUGAGGCCUUCUGCACUGAUCCUACCCUCCGCUCCUGGCCCCAAGCAACCACUGGGAAGCUUUGGUCACUACAGAUUCGUUUUGCCUGUGCUAGAGCUUCAGGUAAAUGGUAAGAAUUAGCCCAUACUCUCUCUGUCUGGCUUUUUCAUUCAUCAUGGUGGUUUUGGGAUUCUCCUAGGUUGUUGCUAGUGUUUCCAUUUUUAUUGUCAAAUAGCAUCCCAUUAUGUGGGAUGCACAUAAACAAAUUGCAAUUUGUUUACUUGUUGAUGGAUGCUUGCCUUGUUUCCACUUGGGGCUCUUAUGAAUAAAGCUGCUAUGAACAUCCACAUGGAAGUAUGUGUAUGAACAUGUGUUUUUAUUUCUAUUGGAUAAAUAUUCGAGUGGAAUUAUUGGGUUGCAUGGUGAGUGUACGUUUAACAUUUUUAGAAACUGUUCAACUGUUUUCCCAAGUGGUUGUGCCAUUUUACACUCCCACAGCAGUGUGGGACUUCCAGCUGCUCCACAUUCUUGCCAACAUUUGGCAUUUUAAAUUUUAGCCAUUCUGGUAUGUUUGCAGUGGUUACUUCAUGAGUAAUCUUGCGGUUUUCUUUUCCCCCCAGAAAUAACUUUGUCUGGCUUUGGUAUUGGGUAUUGCCAUUUUCAUAAAACCGAGCCCUCCUCUCCUGUUUUCUAGAAGAGUGAAUGUAGAGGUGGAUCAUUGGCAUUAUUCCUUCUUUAAAUAUUUGAUAGAAUGCACAAGGAGAGCUGUCUGGGUCUGACCUCACCUCUGCCAUGAAUCCCUGCCAACGAGUUCUUCCUCCAGCCUCUUCUCUUUCUUUGAUCCAGCCAUUCGCAUGCCUUUUGCUGAGUGUCUCUCCUGUGAACAAGGCCUGGCCUGGGUGCCCAGCAGCCUAGUCUGGGGACGGCUUGCUGCUCUGCUCCUCUCAGGGCCAGGGGGUACUGGGCUAGGCCAUAGGAGCUGUGUUCACUGGUUGGCAGGUGGUUUUUGUUGAUUUGUCAUGUUCAUCGUUACACGGAUGGCUGGACACUGGGUCUUCUCCAAAGAGGUGAAUUGAUUGCAAAGCCCAGGAAGCAUCAGGCUCUCCCACCUGCUGGGAAUCUGUGGGGCUUGAGGACUACUCUGGGUGGGAGGGGCCAGGGUGCACUCUGAAAAUGCGUCUGUGUAAGCAUUGCUGGCAAAAUGCCUGAAGAAAUCUGGAAAGGAACCUGAAUUGCUUGGCCUCUAGUAUUUGUUGUGAUUUAUUUUCUCAUUCUAAUUAGAUAUUAUUUUUCAUAAAAAAUUCAUAUUUGUGAUCUUGUACACUUUUCUUUAAAGCGGAUCCCCAAAUUGUAUAAAGUUUGUGCCUCACAAAACUGGAUCCCCUCUCCAGAUCUACUUUGUUUACCCUCAGUGAAUGGAGAGCAAGCUUUGAAUGGAAGCUCCUUUCUCUGCCUGCCUGACAGCACCUGUGCCCCACAGUCCUGGCUUCACAUUGAGCUUAGCAUAUUUGUUUCUGUAGGUGGCAAGUGUCCAGUUUGCCUUAAUAGAGAUGUUUCUCCUGAUCUUGCCUCCCUCUGCUGCCCACCGAACUAAAGAGGGGAGGAAAGGUGUAUGGAACAUGGCUCGCCCUUAGGAGCUGACCUGAUAAUGGUUAAUGGCAAGGCUCUAGGUCUGGGCUAUGGAAAGGAAGCCCUGUUCACUGCAGACCCUCAUGGAGGGCUUAAAGUCCUCAGAAAAAGCUACCUGAAAGAGACAGAGUAGGGGCUGAGGCUGAAGGAGAGCAAAAGUUACACUGGAAGAGAGAGGCAACAGACACUGAGUGGAGAGGGAAGGGGGUCCUGAGAAGGUCCCAGUGGGCCUGGAGGACCAGGAAAGAAGGUGUGUGUGUGCUAAGGAGUGGUCUGGGAGAGGUGGUGACACUCGGGGACUUUUAAGAAUGAAUACAACUUGCUUUUCUUUCCUUCUGGCUAAGCCACUUUUCACAUGGGUUUAACUUAUAGUUUUAAAAUCCACUCAAUUAUUGAAAUAGCACAAAGAAGUCAACAGGGAAAUGUAGGUCUCCUUCCUCUUUCUGUCUCUGUCUCCAGUUCCUACCCCAAUAACAGGGGCUUUUCCCACCUGUCCCCACCUGUGCAGCAUUCUGGAAUGCCAUAUGCAAAUGCAGGCACAUCUGAGCUCCCUUACACAUCUGGAAUCACUGCUCUGUGCCCUCUUAUCCCCCUUGGCAUUUGCCUUGAAGAGAACUCCAUCUUGGUGUGUCGACCUUGGUUCUUUUCUUUUUGCCCUUAGAGCUGCCUGAGCACAGACACCAUAGAGGAUGGUUUGCUUUGGUAUAGAGCAAAGCUGGGCUCCAACCUGGUGCCACCAUGGGCCACCUGAAGGACCUGGUUGCUUGACCUCUGAGCCUCAGUUUCCUCAUCUGUAAAACAGAGAGGACAAUUGCCCUGUUCUCAUGGGCUACUAUAAAGAUUAGCUGAGAGACUGUGCCUAUAGCUUAGGUACAGCACCAGGCGCAGAGAACACCCCAUAGCUUGUAGUUGGUAGUAUACACAGCCAGAAUGGAAGCAGGCCAAGAAGAGCUCUCCUGCUCUCCUCUCCCCACUGACCCCAAAGGCAGAAGCAGCCCCCCACCCUUGUAAAAAUCCUGAAGCUGGUCCUGCACCCUGGCUUCUCUGGGGAGUUUUCUGUCAUCACCACCAACCAGUUCCCUCGGGAUCUUUGUGGCUCCCAGGGAGGGAAUGCCAAUUAAAUGUCAUCCAGGCAGAAGGGCCACCUUUCACUAUUUAUUUAGACUCUGCAGUUGGACUCUCUUCAAGCAAGAGGCUGGCUGGGGAGCUGGGAAGGCAUUUUGGGCUCUGCCCAAGCGGGUUUCCCUCCCACCAUUCAGCUGGCCGCACAGCCAACGGCUUUGUGCGGAAACAGCACCACACUGGGGUCUCGUGUGGAGAUGAAAAUUAAGGGAUAAAUAUACAGGUUUAAUAAUAUUCUGUCAUUUUGACAAUCUCUGCUGCUUGCCUGUGAUAUUUUAAUCCACUUUGCAUGCUUUCGACAUUAAGAGCUUCUGACGAAGUUUCACCAGGAAGAUAAUAUCUUUAUGUAAUGGCCUUGUACUAUGUCUGUGAUUCUAAACACAAAUUUAUUUGCUUUUAUCACUUUGGACUAAAGAGAAAGAAAAUGAACCAUUAGGAAAAAGACUUCUAUUACCCCCCACACACCCCCUUUAAUUUUUCCCUGGAAGUCACAGCUCUUUUCUCUUUCCACCCUGUGCUUGCAGGCACUGCUCCAUAAUCUGUUCCCACCCUGCCUUUGCGGUUAGUUAUUUCAGCUCUGGCCUUCCUGUAGCCAUGGAGGUGAAUUAAAUUAGUGCCAGCAGGAGGGGUGAAUUAAAUAAACUGUAAAAUAAUGCCAACUUUCUGCGUGUUCCUUUGCCAUUCUUGUAUCCCAGUUAAAUUUUUAAAUGAAGUUGAUAGGGAUUUGCAAAUAGUUGUCUUUAACUACUGAUAAACAGAAUUCAGACUGCUCAGAUUGUUGUUCAACCGCGUUCACUCAUGCAUUCUUUCAUGCAUUCGCUCAGUGGGCACCCACCCUGUGGCAGGCACAGUGCCAGGCUGUGGGUCAAGGGUUGAGUGGGCAUAGUCCCUGGUCAAGGCUAAGGUGGCAUGAUUCUCAGAGACAGCCACAGAAUCUGCUGCAGAGGGAGAGUGGCUAAGAUGAGGUCCAAUGGGGAGGAAAAAGACAUCCCUAAAGGCUUUUUGGGUCUUGGCCAAGAGUUUGGAUUUCAUCCCCAUUAAGUAAGAAGCCACUAGGAAUUUUAAGCAGGAUGUGGCAGGGCAAGAGGGCUGCUGGGACACCAGCAGAGAGAAGGCAGCUGACGGUGAGUAUAACGGGGCUAGGUGUGGACCAACAGCAGAGCGAAAUGGCCAGCUUUGGGGUGUACACAGGAGCCUAACACCACAGGAAAGGAGGCUCAGUCUCCCUUCCCCUUCUCUUCCCCACUCCUUUCCUGCCUCUCUCCCACAAGAGAGAAAUGGGUUGAGGUUUUGAAAGACUCAGUUGCUUUGCCCUGAUCCAGGCCUGCUUUUAAGGAUGACCCUACCAGAGGCCCACCCAGCACUGCUCUCUGUAAGAGGUGGGGCAGACACCCCCACUCCGAGAACUUAAUUUGCAGAGGAGCCCAAGGGAGGGGUGGGGGAAGGAGGCGGAUGAUGGAAUAAAGGUGGCCUGUCUGUAGUCCUGAUCCUGCUUAGGCAUCCCCAUCCACCCCCCAGUCAGAGAGAUGAGGAGGGCACAGAGGGAAAGAACCUGCUUUGCUCAGGCUCUUCUGUAGCACCCUUCCUUUUGACACCAGAGGGUCAUAUAGCCGAGUUUCAUCAAUUCCAGUCUCAGGGACAGGAUUGAGAACCACCCCCAAUUCCCUGACCACUACUUUCCUGGGUACUCAGGUUAAUGCUUGUUUCUACUACACUAUCCCUGAACUUCAUCAAACUUCACCUUCCUUCUCUGUAAAAUGUGCCAACAAUUCCUGCCCAUCAGCCUGCCAGGCCUGCUGCAACUCAUCUGAGACUGAGGAGGCUAUAUUCUUGGUGUGGCAGCUCAGCUCCAAGGCAGUGCUUUAAAUGCAGGGAUGGGCAUUAUCCCUGAGCUGACUUGUACUGGGGCUUGCAAACUCUGGCUGCAGUGUCCUGGCUGUAAAUAAGAGAAGUGAGGUGCCAGGUUCUACGGCUGACUGGGAAGACAGGCCAGAGCAGAGGCACAGCAGGCCCCAUCUGGCCAGAAACUCAUUUUACCAAAGAAGCUGAGAACUUGAAUGUUUAUGGUAAGUCUGCAGAUAUUUAAUGUUGACAAUGAAUUCAAAUUCAAAGAUCCUUUAUGGACCAGACAUAAUCCAUCUGCAGACUGAAUUUGGUCUGUGGGUCUCCACUGUGUGAUCACUGCCUGAAGCCACAUUUCACUGGUCUCCAGGACAGAAAUGUAGCAUAAUCAGUGUAAUUCAUUCCAGCUAAAAAAAAAAAAGAACCCUACCAAACAACAUACCCUUUCCUCCUCCUGCGUGACCUGUGAGUAGAGGCACGGAAGGCUCUCACAGGAACUCAGAGAAAGCGACCCUGUCAAUCUUUCUUUACAACACCCUGGACGCAGUGGAUGGUUCAAGAAUGUGACCCAUUCUACCAGAACCAAUGACAUGUAAUGAAACUUUUUCUAGGAGCCCUACAGGGGAAAUUCACUUUGAAUGGACUCUGAUGGGAGUCGAGAGCAUUAGUAACAAUCUUGCAAUUCCUAGAGGACAGUUUAUCUGAGAAUUAUGUCUGCAUGACAGACGACCCUAGAGGAAAAAGCCAAAUUUUGAUGACAUUGUUCUAGCCUCUGGAUCCACCUAUGUCUGAAGUCGUACCUCUGAACAUUUCAAUGACAAAAAUCCUUUAUUUUUUUGGCUUAAGUUCCUUAGUUUGAACUGUUUCUUAGAACCAAAAGGAAUUUGACAGGUAUAGAAGGACACAUAUCCAUUCAAGAGUAGCAAGAAAGUGGGCCCAGUUGGGGCUACAGACACUCGUCUAGGCACAAAUAAUAAACACAGAAGUACUGACAGAACUUCAACCAAUGGUGAAGAAUAUGGCCAGCACUGGAGGCCAAUAUUUGGAUGCCAGUCAGACUACCAGGAGGAAUAAUGAGCAGGGUGUUCACACCCUGGCUCUGCCACCGAUUUGUGUGUGACUUCCAAAAUAUCACCCUCCCUCACCGCUGGACCUUGGUCUCCUAGUCUGAGGCUAGUAAGUCAUCCUUGUUGAGGGCUCACUAUGUGCCAGGCACUCUGUUAAGUGUUCAUUCAUGUCACCUCUUUGGAUCUUCCUGAAGAGCAGCAGGUACUGGGAUUGUGCUUCACACACUCCUCCAAGGUUCUCCACAACAAAGGGAGAGAAUUGAACUGACUGCAGGAACACACAGCUCUGAGACCUGAGGUGUUUUAGGCAGGAGGCCAGGGCAGUCUUGGAGGACAGCUGAAAGCAGGGGACACGCUGGUUUGAGGGAGGAGCUCUCGUGUCAGCUCUGAAGCUCCCAGAGCUUGCUGCACAGACCUGUUCAUUAAAACUGUGCUCUGACAGCAUUACACUUACGGGAUCUUGUGUGCUCUUUUUUGGGGGAAUUUUUGGAGCUGUCACUGGGUUAAGCUGAGAAGCAAAAAGGAUUUGGGGAAAAUCACACCAUUAAAUAUUAAUAUUUUUUCUUUGUUUUAAUUAGAUUCUUUCCCCUAUAGGCAGGUAGAAGGACAGAGCCUUCAGAGGGCUGUUUGUUGUCUUCAAAAACAUGUCUCACAGAACCAGCACAAUAAUUAAGAAGCACUACUUUUUCUUAGCAAAGGAAACUAAUUAUUUCAGCCUGGUGCUGAUUGAUCCAUUUUCAUGAGCAGUUUUAAAAUGUUAGAUGCAUUUUGUGAACCAUUUACGAACAGUCCCAGAAAUGAUGUGGUGGGCACCAGCUGUUCAGGGAUGCUGCCCAAAUGGAGACAUGAAAGAUCAGUUCCAGCUUCACCCGUGAGCCUUUUGACCUCAACCAAAAGGAAGUUCCUGAUGAAUGUAGAAAGGUGGCUGCAGAGAACUUAAGAUGCUUCAGACUUAAGCCUUUCUCUUUUCCUGAACUGUGUCAUCAAAAUGUCCUCAGUGGGGCUAGGCCUUCCAUCUGAUAUCCACGUGGGCAAAGUCUACCAUCCUUCAAUGCCCAGAUAAGUGGCACCUUGGCCAUAAAGCCUUCCAGGAUACCAAGGUGGAGUGCUGUUUCUCCUCCGGGCCCUCACAACUCUAGGCCAAGGAAGGCAAUUGUAUUUGGCACAAAGACUGACCUGGGGUCCACUCCUACCCUUUGCUUGUUGAGUAUCACAUUGGGAAGGAAGCAGGGGAGACAGGGAGCAUGGGGGCAGGGGAGAGAAGCAAGAAAGAAGGAAUACGGUCUGUUAUCUCCUGAUAUUUUAAAAUCAGAGAUAUUUAGGCAGGGAAAUAUUUAUUAAGCAUAACCUCUCCUUUCCAGGGAGGUUAGGUCUAGGUGAGGGAUGGUGUUAUUUGUUGAGUGCAGUACUAGGUAUGUCGCUGCAAAUGAAGAAGAUGAAGGAGCCCCAGAUUUUCCUCACACAAGAUAGGGGAAUGCGGGGCCUUACUGGGGGUUUUAGGAGAGAAAGGAGAUUCAAAGUGGAGAGAGAAGAGGCCCAGAGGAUGCAAAGAUGGGUGUGUGAAAUGGAGACUCAGGCUGGCAGGUAGAGAGGGACUUGAGAAAGAAAGGACUAGUUUCAAACUUCAUUUUAUGAAAUCAUUUCCAUUAUGUGUAAUGUAAAUUCUCUGUCUUCCCACAAAAUGUCCUGCUCCUGUCUGGUGAAGACUUGGGGUCUGUGGAGGUGGGGAAGGCUGUUUGAACAGUUGACGCUGACUGAAGUGGGCCCAAGCAAGACACCACACAGAAGCCUGCUGCUCUCUGUUCCCAAUGCUGUCUCCCCUCAUUCAGCUCCUUGGGGGCCCUGCAGUGCCCUCACAUUCUAGUUGGGUACUUCUGCACAUUUGACUUACCCUCACCUACCUCAUCUUUCUCAUCUGCAAAGCAGGACUAAAGAUAAUUCCUCACCUUUGAGGUCGACACAAGGCUUAAACGUACUAAUGUGUGAAGUGUUCAAACAGUGCGUGGCACAAAAUAAAAUGUUAGAUGUUAUUCUGUCAUUCUCCUUCCUUUCUAACCUGAGGAAAUGUUUUAGAGUAGACAGGGCAUGUGAAAUAUGUAUGGAAAUCUUUAAAACUUUCCUACUAGGGUUGGACUCCCAGUAAAAUUUGAAUUUCAGAUAACAAAUAAUUUGAAAUUAAGAUUUAACAGAACACCCUGCAUUUUUAGCUGUUAAAUUUUGCAACCCUAAUUUCUACCCUAUGACCCUAAGAUUUCACUUCUGGGAAUCUAUUCAAAGUAAAUAAUCUUUGAUAAGAAAAGCUUUAUGCAAUUUUGAAAAUAUGUUGAAAUAUUAGAAACAAACCAUAUGUUCAAAGGGAGGAAAAUGGCUAAGGUAAUUAGGAAAGAUCUCCAUGACUGAAUAUUAUAGUGUCAUAAAAAUGAUGUUUCUGAAGAAUACACAAUAACAUGGAAGAAUGCUCAUGAAAUAACGGUAAGAGGAAAAAAAACUCAGGGAAUACAACUAUGUAAACAGAGUGUUUACAGUUCUAAAAAUUAUCCUUAAACAGAAAAAUACUGACAGAAAAACUGGUGAGAUGUAGUUGUAGAGGCUGGUGAAAUUAUGACUUUUUUUUUCUUUCUACUUAUAUACAGAUCCCAAGUUUUCUGUAAUGAGAAAAAACUCUUUAACUUAUAAAAGCUGCUCUUCUUUAUUCAUGACUUGGGGAAAAGAAAAGAGUGCCUGGACUCCAGGAACCUUAAGUUCCCAUGUUGGUAUCUGCUGGUAGGGUGGCCCUGCAAGAGUUACUCCAAAUCUCAGGGUCUCAGUAUUGUCAUCUGUGAAAUGUGAGACAUGGUACACAGGCCAGCACAGCCCCAAACUGCUCCAGGGUUCUCUUCUUCCUCCAUCUUCCUUCUCCUCCUCCGCCUCCUCCUCCCCUUCUCUUCUUCUCCUUCUCCCUCUCAUCUCUUCUUUCUUCCUUCUCCCUUCCUUUUCUCUUUUCUCUCCUUAGGCUUUCCCAUUCUCUGACUUCCUCAAUGUCACAACUCUUUUUUUUUUUUAAGUUUACUUAUUUAUUUUGAGAGAGAUAGAGUGCAAGCAGGGAAGGGCCAGAGAGAGAGGGAAAGAGAGAAUCCCAGGCAGGCUCUACACUGUCUGGGUGGAGCCCGAUGCAGGGCUGUAUCCCAUGAACCAUGAGAUCAUGACCUGAGCUGAAACCAAGAGUCAAACGCUUAAUUGACUGAGCCACCCAGGUGCCUCAGUGUCAGAACUCUUAAUGUGCAAACAUUAAGCAACAGCAAAAUUCCACCCAGCCUACAAAACAAACAGAAUUUAUUCCUACUGAAGUAAAUUACUGGAAUUCAAAGGAAGUACAGCUUUAAGAAUGGCAUGAUCAGAGUACUUCAUUUUCCUGCAGUUCUCUCUGGGCUCUUCUCUGGCUUUGUCACUGGGAAAGCUUCCUUUCUUUCAGCCACAGUGGCUCCCAUGAUUCUGCACACCACACAGUCUUGAUGGUGAGAGUGUUUCUGUCUCAACAUAUCAUAAGAGUCCUGAGAUUUGUUCUGAUCGAGUAAACCUAGUUUAUAUGUCACCUCUCUAAUAAUGGCCAGCACUGGUAAGUGAGAUAUCUGAAUUUACUUAAGCCACUCAAGGUCCCAAUUUGGAAUUGUGAGUAGGGCCAUGAGCUGAGAUGGAUACCUGAAGAGAAAGCUUGGUUUUGUUAGGAAGUGGACAGGAGAAAAAAAUUUUAGGAUGGCAUACACCAAAUGCCCACCACAUCAAUCAGCAGGCAUCUUGCAGGGUCAGCUGAUUUCCCAGAACAAUGGUAGGUUCUGGAAUAUUUUGAAAAGAGACCAGAUUAUUACCUUCUUCAGUGGCAUCUUUGUUCACCUGCUGAAAGCAAAUGUUGAAGCAUAAGGUGGGGAAUGGCACACUUUAGGCCAUUUCUGGGUCUUGAAUCACAUUUGGGUUUAUGUGUCUGGAUUCUCUGGGCAGACAGAGACUACCAUUGUCUGACUGGCUUUGUGUGGUUUUAACAUGAUGGACUCAAUGGAGUAUGAAUGAAUAGGGAUAGGGGGACUCCUAAGAACACUUAUCUUCCUUUCCACAUAUCUGAGCUGUCCUGCCCAGUUCUUGAAGCUGCACAAUCAGACAAGGGUCAUGUUCUCUCUCCCCCCCUCUCUUUUUUCUUUCAUCUCUCUAAUUUAAAAAAUUCUUUUUUUAAAGAAAGUCCGUGUCUCCCUGAUGAGACUUUGCCUAAUGAAGUAUUUUAUAGUAUUCUUUCCUUUAAAAAGAAUAAGGAUGAAUCUUUAUUAAAUUAAUUUUUGCUUUAAUGCAUUUCCUUCAUAUUUCAUGCUGUGGACACAACUGUUUCUGCAAAUGACUUUUUCCAAGAUGCCUGAUUUAUUUUUAAUUGCCUCUGUCCCUCAGUUUGAUUCCAAGCUACACUUGUUAUUUCUAUUUGUUUAGUAGUUAAAGCCUGCAGAUAUAACAGGUAAAGUCUUCUGCUUUUGGCAAAGCAAGGGGAAGACUCAAAAGGGUGAGAACCUAUCCAUCCUGAAUAGGUGGUACAAAGUACAAAUGACUUUCCUGUGGCUUCUAGGGUUGAAAUACAAAGGACAUUCUCUUCCAUUUGUAAAACAUUCUAUGCUAUAGAAUGCCUGUUUACAUGCCCUAUUUCUGAUGCUCCACAUUUUGGUAAGGUAUUCCCCUGCGUCAUAUAAAAUUAUUAAAUCAUGGGCUAUUUCCAUUUUUAAAGCUAAAAGAAAUAGUGAUUUACUAACUGGCAGGAACACCUCUAAACUAUAAAGAUAAACAUCUGACCUUAAAGAUAAACAUCUUUCCACUAUAUUACUGUAUUUCUCAAAGUCUAAUUCCUAAAUGCUUUUGUCUAAAUGUUUUUGUCUUAAAUAUUUGUACUUUUAAAGGAAAUAUUUAUACAGAUGUAAUCUGUAUUCAUUGUGGGGGAAAAAAGUAAACACAAAGCAGUGUCUGUGUGUGCAAACGCGCCUAUGUGUACAGGUGUAUACAUUUUCAUUCAUCAUCCUCUGGUCACUGGAGGUGACCAGUAUCUGGAAGGACAGUGUCUGGAAGGACAGGAGUUAUGCUGUGAGGCAAGCCCUACCCUGCUGGGGCCUCAUCUACUUUCAGGACCUUCCACUCCCCUCCCACCUCCUGCACUGCCAUCUUUAAGCCUCACUGAUGCAGACAGUGCAGGGAGUCAUUACUGCCUGUCCAAAUUCAUUCCCUCUUCUUCUUUUUUUUAAUGUUUAUUUAUUUUUGAGAGAGACAGAGACAGAGACAGAGACAGAGGGUGAGUGGGGGAGGGGCAGACAGAUAGGGAGAUAUAGAAUCCGAAGCAGACUCCAGGCUCUGAGCUGUCAGCACAGAGCCAGACACGGCUCAAACUCACGAACUGUGAGAUCAUGACCUGAGCCAAAGUCCGAUGCUUAACCGACUGAGCCACCCAGGCACCCCAAUUCAUUCCCUCUUCUUAAUCCCAAUUUUCCUCUGGGAAAGCACAGACUUACCAUUAAACGCAGCAGUGAGUGGCAUCAUUGACUUGUAACUGAAUCCAGGGAGUCACGUGGCCUACACUUAGCCAAUCAGAGUCAAUGAUACUGAAAGGAUGUUUGUGGUGCAUCUUGGGAAAUAGAAGGUGUUUCUGCCAGCUGUGAAGCUGAAGGUAGCCAUCUGGGCACCAAAACACGUCGCCUGGGAGGGAGCCCACCUAGAGAAAAGCAGAACUUGGAAGCUGAGGGCCAGGGACCACAUCCUCAUACAGUGCUUUUCUGUUACAUGAAGAGUUCAUUUUUUGCUAACUCCAGUUGGAGUCAUUUUCUGACAGUAGCUCAAAGUUGGGAAAUAAAUGUCCAUGUGCUUAUCAGAGUAGAAAUAGGACAGUUGAAGAUAAAAUUAUUUUUAAGUGCCUUGGUUCGGUGCUUACUGGAAAGUUGGAGAGGAUGAGACCAUUACCGCAAAGUUUCUAGGGAUGCUAGACAGUGUAAGAUUUCUGCUACUGACUGAAUUCAGUUAGAAUUUUGAGUUUACUUCCUUUGUGGCCAGAGAACAUACAUUGUAAGAUUGUGUUCUUUUGAAACUUAUUGAAAUUCAUUUUAUGACACAGUAUAUACUCUACUCGGUGAACAUCUAUUUGCACUUGAAAAGAAUGUGCAUUCUGCAGUUGUUUGGUGUAGUGUUCUAUAAAUGUCAAGUAGGUUUAAGUGGUUGAUAAUAUUCUUCAGAUAUUCUAUUUCUUUACUGUUUUUUUUGUUUGGUCUAAUUGUUUUAUUAGUUCCUGAAAGAGGUGUGCAAGAAUCUUGUACUAUGAUUGUGACCUUGUAUAUUUCUGCUUUUAAUUUUGUCAUUUUUCAUGCAUAUAUUUUGAAGAUCUGUUAUUAGGCAUAUAGGUAGGUAAGUGUCAUAUCUCUUUGACUGUACUGAACUUUUUAUAGUAAUGGAAAGCCCCUUUUUGCCUCUAGUAAUACCCUUUGUUUUGAAGUCUAUUUUGGGUGAUGUUAUUAUAACACUCCUGGGUAGCUCUUUCUUCCGUAAGCACAUUUCUUUCUUAUCUCUGCCUGCUGUUUUUGCCAGGCUAUCCAAGUCUCCAUCAUGUAUAUGUAAUUUCGCUGUCAUCAAGGGUUUGCUUCCAAGAUUUUGCCUCUUUAAAUUUUCUAAGCCUGAACUCUGACCUCUAGCACCUGUAUCUGACAAGGUUUCAUUUUUCUAUUGCCAUUUUUAUUGUAGCCAUGGUUGCCAGAUUGACAAACAACUUCACUUUAGAUCACAAAGCCACCAAUUCACAAUUCUUACCUCUUACAGAUACAACUUUUUGAGAGUAAGUGUUUCUCAAGUUCUGUCUUUUUUAGAUAACUUCCCAUACUAUUAAAUAAUUGUUUUGUUUAAAUUAUUUUAUCAAGUUUGUAUUAUUGUUAUCUUGGGAGAAUUCAUGUAAUUAUAUCAAUCCUUUAUCAUUACUUAAAGUAGCUCCUGGACUUCUUUUUAAACCUCCUGAGGUUAUUCUGACAUCUACCCAGGUUUGAGAACAACAGACCAAUAGACCACUUUGCCUUACUGAACCAUUGGCCUUAUUCUUACUCUAUUCUUGCUCCACAUGCUAUAUAAUUAGGCUUAAAAAUUUCCACAUUCUGGGCCCUAUAAAAAAGACUGAACAUGAGUUCAAAAUUCUGUAACAGUGGGGUUUGAAUAAAAUAAUGUUGACAGCAUUGGGAAAAAGAUUUUUAGUGUUUCUCUCAGUUGUAAAAGUCAGCUAUAUCUGAUCCUAAGCAAGAUAUCUAGGGCCCAGAGCUUGAAAGAAUCUUCUAGAGCCAGGGAAAAUUACCCUUGGGAUACUGGCAGCCCAGUCAGAUGCAGAGGGUCAUUCUGGUCCCAAGUGAGAGGCCUAAGACAUUGCUGUCCCUCAGAAACUGAUGAAGAAUGGACAGACAUAUCCUUGGUCCUGAUUCUUCUUCACAAGACUACCUUUGAUUACACCACAAACAAUAAAAUAUCUAGGAAUAAACUUAACCAAAAAGGUUAAAGACCUGUACUCUGAAAACUAUAAAAUAUUGAUGAAAGAAAUUCAAGAUGACACAAAGAAAUGGAAAGACAGUCCUUGUUCAUGGUUUGGAAGAACCAAUAUUGUUAAAAUAUCUAUACUACUCAAAGCAAUCUACAGAUUUAAUGUAAUCCCUAUCAAAAUAACAGGAGCAUUUUUCACACAAUUAGAAAAAAUAAUCCUAAAAUUUGUAAGGAACCACAAAAGACCCCGAACAGCCAAAGCAAUCUUGAAAUGGAAAAACAAAACUGGAAGUAUCACAAUUCCAGAUUUCAAGUUAUAUUACAAAGUAGCAGUAAUUAAAACAGUAUGGUAUUGGUAUAAAAAUAAACACAUAGAUAAAUGGAACAGAAACGAAAACCCAGAAAUUAACCCACAACUAUAUGGUCAAUUAAUCUUCAACAAAGGGGGAAAUAAAUAUACAAUGGGAAAAAAAGUCUCUGCAACAAAUGGUGUUGGGGAAACUGGACAGCCACAUACAAAAGAAUAAAACUGGACCACUUUCUUACAUCAUACACAAAAAUAAAUUCAAAAUGGAUUAAAGACCUAAAUGUGAGACCUGAAGCCAUACAAAUCCUAGAAGAGAACACAGGCAGUAAUAUCUCUGAUAUCAGCUGUAGCAACAUUUUUCUACAUAUGUCCCCUGAGGCAAGGGAAAUCAAAGAAAAAAAAAAACUAUUGGGACUGUGUCAAAAUAAAAAGGUUUCUGCUCAGCAAAGUAAACAAUCAAUAAAACUAAAAGGCAGCCUUUUAGUGGCAGGAGAUAUUUGCAGAUGACAUAUCCAAUAAAGGGGUUAGUAUCCAAAAUAAAGAACUUACACAACUCAACACACACAAAAAACCCACAAAUGAUCCAAUUAAAAAUGGGAAGAAGCCAUGAAUAGAUAUUUUUUCUAAAGUAGGCAACUAGAUGGCCAAUGGACACAUGAAAAGAUGUUCGGCAUCACUCAUCAUCAGGGAAAUGCAAAUCAAAGCCACAAUGAGAUAUCACCUCAUACCUGUCAGAAUGGCUAAACUCAAAAACACAGGAAAUAAAUGUUGGCAAGGAUAUGGAAAAAGGGGAAUCCUUGUGCACUGUUGGUGGGAAUGCAAACUGGUACAGUCACUCUGGAAAACAGUAUAGAGGUUCCUCAAAAAGUUAAACACAGAACUACCCUAUCAUCCAGGAAUUGCACCACUGGGUAUUUGCCCCCCAAAUAUGAAAACAUUAAUUCAAAGGGAUACAUGCACCCCUAUAAUAGCAGUAUUUUUAUUAUAGCCAAACUAUGGAAGCAGCCCACAUGUCCAUCAAUAGAUGAAUGGAUAAAGAAGAAGUGGUAUACAUACAAUGGAAUAUUAUUCAGCUAUAAAAAAUGAAAUCUUGCCAUCUGCCAAAACAUGAACAGAGCUAGAGAGUACACUACUGCUAAGUGAAAAAAUCAGUCAAGGAAAGAUAAAUACUGUAUGAUUAUGCUCUUAUGUGGAAUUUAAGAAACAAAACAAAUGAACAAAGGAAAAAAAGAGAGAGACUAACCAAGAAACAGACUCUUAACUAUAGAGAACAAGCAUGGUUGCCAGAGGGGAAGUGUGUGGGAGGAUGAGGGAAAUAGAGGAUGAGGAUUAAGGAGCACACUUAUUAAAAACAAAGCAAACAAAAAACUACCUCUUGGAUGAGGUUGUGCUGUCAGGGACCCACUCAGAUGUAGGUGAGGUCAUACAUGUGCACUCUGUCUUAGCUCAGAACAGAUACUGUGGCACCACUACCAAGAGUCUGGAUAGCUACUCAUUCCUUUCUUUACUCAGCCAACAUUUCCUGAGUUUCAACUCCAUGACAGAAUCUAACAAGACUGUGGGGAUGAGGGAGGGAAUUGAUUCAUAGACACUAUCCGUGAAGGUACCAAUAACCCACUGUAGAGAAACACAAUGUGUAGUGAAUGCUUGUGAAUUUUAAUAUAGAAACCUAUUUUGUUUAGUUUGAAAGGCAGUAAUAUGGAGAAUAAAGCAGAGAACAUUUUAGAAAUAGGCUGUCUGGGUUUGCCUUUCAGCUUAGCCACUGACUGUGACCUUGGGAAAGUCAUUUAACCUCUCUGUGCCUUGUUUCCUGGCGGGUAAUAAUAGUACCUACUUCAAGGAUGUUAUACAGGCUAAAUGAAGUAAUAUAUGUGUGGCUUUUAGUACCUUUUGAACUAGGUGAUUGUAAUAUAAAGUGUUCUCUUAUCUCCUGGGAGGGUAUAAUAUGUAAGCUAUCCUUGCUUUCUAGGACACUGUUUUGUUUUGUUUUGUUUUCCAUUACUAAUAAUUCAGGUUCUAGGGAUAAUAAAACAUCAUGGUUUACUGUGAAAGGAAAAACAGAGAGUAGGAUUUGAGGCAAUAAUAAAGGAUAAAGUAUCUUUCAGAAAAUUAGGGAAGAAAAGUUCUCCUAAGAUGAAAAAGGACGAUAGAUAAUGACAGAAGAGGGAGGUUACUGCAGGGGUGAGGUGUGCAGGCUCCUAGACAAACUGUAUAAGAAGAUUUCCCUUAAUGGGAAAUUCCAGGGGCUUCAACCUAGCAAAGAUCUUCAAGAGACCCCACAUGAGUGCUUGUGAAAGGCAAGGCAGCUAAUUCCUGCAGAGACUACCCAGCUGGAGAACUUCCCAACCCUGUGCUCCAAGACCAUACCAGAUUUACUUUCUACUUUCUUUGGUUUUAAAAUCAAUAUUUCACAGAAGUCAGUAUUUUAUAUUGUCAUUAUCCAGCACCUGGCUCUUUGGCCACCCAGUAGGGAUGACAUACACACUGUCCUAGGAUUCCAUUUGGUCUCAGAUCACAAAAAACUUCAGGACACUAUAAGCCCAAUAGAAGGAUGUCCCCUGCCUACCCUUGGUAGGGUGGUUCUGAGUUUAUACUUGAGGACCCCUGCCAUUGGGACAGUUUCAUUGACCUCUGCCCAGUGACAUGGUGAGUCCUUGCUCCCAGUUAGAUUACUGAACUCCAGUGAUGACACUCCCUUCAGGAAGAGCAUCUCACAGUAACCUGGAGAGGUAGGUGUUGUCUCUGUGUUAGAGAAUAUAAGUGGAAGAACAGAGUUUCAAGGGCUCAGUCUCACUGCAAGUCAAGAGGUAAACCCAGGGAGUUUGGCUACUGGGCCUGUACAUCUAACCCCUACACUUUCUGCCUGCACUGGAAGAACCCCGAAUAGGCUUUCCAAGUUCAACUCAGAUUUUGUGUCUUAUUUUAUUUUUUAGUGUUGAGUAAAAACUGCAGCUACUACCCAGUGUGGGGUUAGUCACAUGAAUUUACAUGCAUUCCUAGGGAAACUGAUUGGGCUACCCUGGACACUUUGUGGGAAUGAAGGGAAGAAAUGAGCCAAUCCAGUAGGAUUGCCCUGGAGUUUCCUGAUGGCUCCUAGAGAAGCUGCCAUACCUAUUUGAGAGUGUUGGCUCAUAGAAUGCACAGUCUGACUUGAGCCUUAAUAUCAUGGGUGUGGAAAUGAAGCUAGUGGUUGGGAUGUGGCCUGUUGGCAAGCUAUUGGUAGAUCCAGGUCUACAACAUAAGCCUCUCUGCAAGCAUGCAUAUAUCCAUGCAUGCAUUCGUCUACUUCUACAUUCAUCCAUUCAACAGAUACUUGUUGAAUACCAGGCACUGUCUUAGAAGCCAGGGAUUCAGUGGUAGACAAGACAGAUACUCCUGUCCUCAUGUAGUCAAUGUUUGGGAGGAGGAGGUUUUUGAUCUGCUCUUUUCCCAACCAACCCAAAGCUGUGUCCACAGUAUCCUUUGCCUUACAUUGAUUCUAUAAAUGUUAUUUCUUAUAAAUAGUAUGAAAGCCUGUGCUUUCCCCCACUUCUGGUGUUAUGAGAGCUGUGUAAUGGCAGAGAAGGCCCGGGCCUAGUGUCAGGUUCACCUAGGUUCAAAUCCUGGCUUUACCACUGACCAGUCAUGUAGCCUUCAGCCAAUCAUUCAACUACUCUUUGACCUGAUUUUUCACCUCUGAAGCAAAGAUGACAAUAUCUGCCUUGUAAUGUUGUCAUGAGGACCAGAAACACUCAACUCAUGUAGAUGAUUAGCCCUGAUGCAUCUAUGAUGAGCAAGCAACACAGGUAUGAACUUUUCCCUUGGAAUGCAACUCACCAAGGGUAGGGGUGCACAGUGCCUGGCACCCAGUAGGUACCCCAUACAUGGAAGCUCUUUUCCAUCACACUGGACAGACUCUGGUGGCACUUACUCAAAGAGACCUGAUUUGGUUAUGUUUUCUCUGGCUAAGCAUGAACGGCUUUGCCAUUAUGGCAGUUGUGUCCUUGCCUCUGGUGUUGUUCACAUGGGGUCUCCCUUCUGCUCUGCCUUACUUUUCAGGCAUCACAUCAGCUUAAUUUAGUCUUCUUUCCUCAGGUGGGCAGCUGGGGGACCCUUUGGCAGGGGUCCCCAAAAAUACUUUUUACUCUGAGACUCAGCACUUAUUUGUGCACACAUACAUAACACUAAAACAAAAGUUCAUGAAAUGAUAUCCUUAUAAUGGUGAUCCAUUCAUAUUUUCUUUACUAUUCUAUUGUUUUAUUUUUUUUAAUGCUGAUUAAAAGACACAGAACUGAACUUAUGACCUAAUAGUGGAUCCUUCAUUUAAAGUUUGAAAAACACUGCCUUAGUAGUUGGUAUGCUUGUUGGCCCACUCUUGCCCCCACCUCUCCCUCUUCUUCCAUUUCUGUUUACCUCUGUUCUCCUAGCUUUGAUCUCAGCUGCUCUACUCAACCUCCAGAGCAAAGGCAUGAGUGACUGACCAGUGACACAUCUCAAUGAAGGCAGCAGUAACCACGUAACAUAAGGGUGGAAAGCUGAAACCCAGAAGGCCAGACACAAAACAAAGUUAAGUCCACAGGUCUCUUGUAGGUUGUGGUGUAGCAGCCAAGAAUGAGGUCAGAGGGCAAGAAGUCACAAAGACUGCUGGCCAGAGCAGAGCAACAGGACCUGGAGGUCCCAGCACAGGGAGCUGGCUUGGCCAGAGCUGUGAGGCCAAGGUAGGAGUCUGGAAGCUCUAUAAAGGUAUGAAAAUGAAGCAUGCACUAGAAAUCAGUGUCACUGUUGUAGACCCUCUCCUGUUGGACUCUGGGCUUCUUAGACAAAGAGGGUAUUCAUCGCUGUGGGCCCAGGAUCCGGGUCACAAUGUGGAACAAACAGGGGCUCAGAGAUGAUGUUAAAAUAAUAAAUAAUAGUAAGCCAGAAUCUCUACCUCUGAAGCUUCUUCCCACUGAUCAUUCAUUCACUCAUAUUCCAACUUUAAGUCAGGCCCAGCAUUGAGCCUAGGGAGUCAGAGAAGUGUCAGACUGUUCUGGGCCUGAGGACCUCACAUUCUGAGGAUGUGAUGAGGGACUGACAGGCAUACAGGCAGUUUCAGUGCCCACAGUGCACAGAGAGCUACAGUAUCCCUUAAGUGACUUCCCUCAUUUGUUGUUUUCACCUCCACUCAUUCAUUAGACAAGCAUCUACCUGUUACAUGCCAGGCUUAAGGUUCACCAGAGAACAAGACAAAUGGAAUCUAUGUUUGGAGAGCUUACCUUCUGGUGGGGGGCAGACAACAACAAGGAGCUACACACAGUUGGGCAUCUGUGAUAUAGUGAGUAGGGUACUCUAAGCACUGCUGAUCUUCUUGCCUUCUCCCUUACUGAGUGCCCUUAGACCACAUUAUCUCUGGUGUGUUAUUAGGUUAAUGUCUUAUUCCAGCCCCUCAUCUCCACCUUGUUACUUGAUCUCACUCUAUUUUCACUGACCAUCUGCCAAAGGCCCUUUCUCAACACCUUCCACACCCUGGGGGAUCAGAUACAGAUUUGGCUGCCUAGCCCAGGCUAGGGAUAUCAUGAACAAAUUGAAGUUUGGUGUCAUCUAUGGCUUUUCAAAUUGUAAAGACUGUGAAUUUCCCAUUUAUAUUAAAUAUGAAGUUAUUCAAAGAUGAAGGAGGAAGAGCCGACAUAAACUACAAGGAACCCAGUUACUGAUUUCAGGUAUUGACUCUGACAAGUUGUGCCCAUUCAUGGAGGUCAUUGCCUGUGGGCAUGGAUAGCCAAGCUCGCUCUUGAGAGUAUAAGGGGAAGGGAGAGGGAACUCCCUGGGAAGAUCCCAUUUUCUUUGUUCACUCAUCCAUUGACAGAUACCUAGAUUGUUUCUGUAUCUUGACAAUAAACAUAGGAGUUCAGAUAUCUCUAAGUUUACUGAUUUUGCUUCCUUCAGAUAUGUUCCCAGAAGUGAGAUUGCUGGGUCAUAUGGUAGUUCUAUUUUUAUAAUUUGGGGAACCUCCAAGCUGUAUUUUAUAAUGGCUGUACCAAUUUAUUUUCCCACCAAUAAUGUACAAAAGUUCUUUUCUCUGCACAUCCUUGCUGACAUUUGUUAUCUCUUAUCUCUUUGAUAAUAGAUAUCCUAAUGGAUAUGAGGUGAUAUUUCAUUGUGGUUUUGAUUUGUAUUUCUCUGAUGAUUAGAUGUUGAGCACUUUUUCAUGGACCUGUUGGCCAUUUGGAUAUCUUCCUCAAAAAAAUAUCUAUUUACAUCCUCUGCCCAUUUUUUAAUUGGAUUAUUUGUUUGUUGUUUGCUAUUGAGCUAUGUGAAUCCCAUAUAUUUUUUGGGAUAGCUUAUUAGUUCUUAUGGUUUGCAAAUAUCUUCUCCCAUUCGGUCAGUUACUUUUUCAUUUUGUUGAUUGUUUCUUUUGUGUGCAGAAGGCUUUUAGUUUGAUAUAAUCUUACUUAUCUAUUUUUGCUUUUGCUUUUUUUGUCUUUGCUCUGUAUGUCAUAUCCAAAAAACUGUUGUCAAGAUCCCUGUUAAGGAGCUUUUUCCUAUGUUUUCUUCUAGGACUUUAAUGGUUUCAGAUAUUGUGUUUAAAUACUCAAUCCAUUUUAUGUUAAAUUUUGUGAGUGGUGUAAGAUAAGGGUCUAAUUUUAUUCUUGUGUAUGUGAAUAUACAGUUUUCUCGAAACCAUUUCUUGAAGAGACUAUCCUUUCCCUAUUGAGUAUUCGUGGCCUUUUUUGUCAGAUGUUAGUUGGCUGUAUGUGUGGGUUUAUUUUUGGGCACUAGAUUCUAUUCCAUUAGUUUAUAUGUCAAUUUUUAUGCCAGUAUCAUACUAUAGCUUUGUAAUAUAGUUUGAAAUCAGGAAGUAUAAUGUUUUCAGGUUUGCUUUUUACUGAGGAUUUCUUUGGCUAUUAAGUAUCUUCUGUGCUUCCAUAUAGAAUUUUCUAUAUCUGUGAAAAAUGCCAUUGGAAUUUUGAUAGAGAUUACAUUGAAUCUAUAGAUUACUUUGGGUAAUACAGAAAUAUUAAUAUUGUUAAUAUUUCUGAUCCACGAACACUGGAUAUCUUUCCAUUUAUUUGUGUCUUCUUCAAUUUCUUUCAUCAAAGUCAUGUAUUUUUCAGUGUAAAGAAAUUUCACUUCCUUGGUUAGAUUUAUACCUGAGUAUUUUCUUUUUUUAUGCUAUUGUUAAUUAAAUUAUUGUCUUUAUUUUAUUAUUUUUUAUGAUAGUUCAUUGCUAGUGUAUAGAAACAUGACUGAUUUUUGUAUGUUGAUUUGGUAUCCUACAACUUUACCCAAUUUGUUGAUUAGUUCUAACAAUUUUUUGGUGAAAUCUUUAUAUAAGAUCUUAACUACAAACAUGCAAUUUUACUCAUUUCUUUACAGUUUGGAUGAUUUUUAAUUUCUUUUCUUGCAUAAUUGCUCUGGCUAGGACUUCCAGGACUGUGCUGAACUGGAGUAAUGAGUGGGGCUUCCUUGUCUCAUUCCUGAUCUUGGAAAAGUGUUUCCACAAUUAGGGAGGAUGUUACAUAUGUACUUGUCGUAUAUGGCCUUUAUUAUGUUGUAGUAUAUUCCUUUUAUAUACCUUCUUUUUUUUAACGUUUAUUUAUUUUUGAGACAGAGAGAGACAGAGCAUGAAUGGGGGAGGGUCAGAGAGAGAGGGAGACACAGAAUCCGAAACAGGCUCCAGGCUCUGAGCUAUCAGCACAGAGCCUGACGCGGGGCUUGAACUCACGAACCGUGAGAUCAUGACCUGAGCUGAAGUCGGAUGCUUAACCGACUGAGCCACCCAGGCGCCCUGCUUUUAUAUACCUUCUAAUAAUAAUUUUUGAGAGUUUUUAUCAUGANUUCCGAUCUCACACGGAUGCUGCUGAGCAUCUCAGAGUGCAUGAGACAGCCCCCACAACAAAGAAUGAUCUGGUUCAAAAUGCUAAUAGUGUCUUGGUUGAAACACUUUGUACUAUACUGUCCGGCCUCAGUGAGGUCAGGUGUGCUAAGAGCCAGGCCCAGAGCAGAUCCACAACAAAUGGCACAUCAUUUUUUUUUUUAAAUGUUUAUUUAUUUUUGAGACAGAGGGAGACAGCACGAGUGGGGGAGGGGCAGAGAGAGAGAGAGAGAGAGAGACACAGAAUCCAAAACAGGCUCCAGGCACAGAGCUCGAUGCGGGACUUGAACCCAUGAACCGUGAGAUCAUGACCUGAGCUGAAGUCGGAUGCUUAACCGACUGAGCCACCCAGGCGCCCUGCUUUUAUAUACCUUCUAAUAAUAUUUUUUGAGAGUUUUUAUCAUGAAAGGAUCUUGAAUUUUGUCAAAUGCCUUUUGUUCAUUUAUUGGGAUGAUCAUAUGAAUUUUUAUCUUUUAGUAUAUUAAUAAGGUAUAUUACAUUUAUUGGUUUCCACAUGUUCAACUAUCCUUGCAUCUCAGGGAUAGAUUCCAUGGUGUAUGAUACUUUUAAUGUGCUGUUGAAUUCAGUUUGCUGGUAUUUCUUGAAAAAUUUUUUAUCUAUAUUUAUCAGGGGUAUUGAUCUGUAGUUUUCUUUUCUUGUUCUUACCUGGCUUUGGUAUAGGGUAAUGUUGGCCUUAUAAAAUUAGUUUGAGAGUGUUUCUUUCUCUUCAAUGUUUUUUGAAGAGUUUGAGAAGGAUAGACAUUAGUUAUUCUUUAAAUGUUUGGUACAAUUCUCCAGUGAAAUCUUGUCCUGGGCUUUCUGUGUUGGGAAGCUUUUGAUUACUGAUUCAAUCUCUUUACUCAUUGUUGGUCAGUUCAGAUUUUCUAUUUCUUCAUGAUUCAGACUUAGUAAGUUGUAUGUUUCUAAGAAUUUGUCCAUUUUCCAUAGGUUAUCCUCAAGGGAGUUUUUAAAAAGAUGGCAGUUAGAGCAUGUUUGUAUAGGGGUAUUAUGGCCAAAGGUAGAGGGAGAAUCUGAUGAUGUAGGAAAGUGGAGGUAAGAGGGAAUAGGACCCUUUGAAGGCACAGGGAUACAUCAACUUUAUUAACAGGAGAGAAGGCAGAGUAUGAGUACAGAUAAAGGAGGUUUUUGGAUUUAGUGUUGGGAAGAUGAAGGGGUCUCCAUUGUGUGUUACCGUAUUGGGUCUCUUUUGUCACUGUUUCACAUCCUUGCAGCCCACCUUUUGUUGCAGCUCUGAUACAGAAGUUUCACAUUGGCUCUGGCCAGCAUUGCGUGGAUGCAUUCUGACAGCAUGUCACCUAGCUAUAUCUCUUGUUUCUGCCCCAGGAUCUCUCUAGCUCUGAGAUGUUAGACACCCCGGAAUAUGCUUGACAAUUAUGCAUAUUAAGCCCAGAAGCUCUGAGAAGUUAAUGCUUGUAGGACCACACCUGGCCUAUGGGGGAUGGAAGCCAAUGAGUAACUGUUUUGCUCUUUUAUCUUCUACAUUGACAGUUCUGAGGCACACUUGAAAAGGUUUCUUAUCCCCACAACAGACCAACUCAAUAAUGUAUCCUUGUACUGACUUUUUUUCCUUUCAUGUUUCACUUCCUUCUCCCUAUUUCCAGCUCCUUUGGGAUCAUAUUCCCAAACCAAGUACCUGCACAUGAAUCUCUGUUUAGACUCUGCUCUUGGGGAAAUUUAGGUCGACAAUGCCCUGCCUGACUAUUCAGUCCCCUGCUCACUAUUCUGUUCUUUUCUUGUGCUAGUUCCUGAAAGCCUAUCACCCUGGCUUUCUAACAGAGCUAACUUUAUGACCACUUCAAGGCCUUUGAAUAUAUCUUGAAUAUCUACCCCAGCUCUUCCUGUGCCACCUCAUCUGGUCUCAGCUUACAUGCCAUCACAGAGAAACCCUCACUGAUCAUUCAGUGAAAGCAGACCUCACUCCCACCACCAGGCCUUCCACAUCUCAUUUCCCUGUUUAAUUUCCAGUAGCACCUACCAUGCUCUAAAGUGCCCCUUUUCCUUAUUGUUUACUUGUGCAUUAUCUGGGUGAUUGGAUUACUCAUUGGAGGUCUGCCUCCCUGGACUUCACUGUGCUUAGAUUCACUUUCUGCCUCCAUGGAGGUACAGAUGAGGCUCUGCUUUCUCAUAAAAUAUCCCAGUUGCAUGUGCCAUGGAGUUUCAAAUAGAUCUGGUAUAAGGUGAUCUAUGCAUUCAACCUCUGUUUCUAGAGGACAGCAGGAACUGGUAGGGAUUAUAGAUAAGCCCUAGCAUGCAGGCCCUGUGCAAGCAGGAAGGGCCUCCACAUAACUUCUUGUUAUUGCCAGCCUGGAAUGUGGCUAUGCUGUUUGACUUUAUGAUUUCUCAAGAUAAACCAGAUAUCUGGGGUGUGUGUGUGUGUGUGUGUGUGUGUGUGUGUGUGUGUGAAACCUCCAAAUUUUUAAAUAUUGGCCAACAGUUCCGUUUUUCAACAUCUUCUGGACCAAAGAAACCCAGAAACCAUGCUCCUCUCCAGAUGUGUCAGCUUUGGGCUGGAUUUGUCCUGCCUUGCUUACCUGGAUCAUUCUACACUAACUCACAGUCAAGGCAAUGAGAGUUGGUAUUUCAAGCUCUGGACAGUAAUUUGCCAUAGUCAGAAACAAAGACCUGCUAACAGAGACCCACCUGAUACUGGCAGAACUCAAGAGGAGAAGAGUAACUGCUGGGAUGUAGAAGGGAGGGAAAUUGGACUGAUUAACUUUCUACUGUUUAUAAACAUAUAAAUCCCAGGUGCCAAAGAAGUAGAAUAUGUGACCUUUAGAUAAGGUACCAUAAACCUGUCUUGGAUAAUUAACCUUUUUAAGAGCAAGCAUGUUCAACACUUAAUAUCUGAAAAGGUGUAACAUAGCAAGAAUGAGCUAUAAAUAAAAGAGAUGGAAAGCACAGUUGAGUUUCAUUGUGGUGGGCUGCAGCUAAUUAAUUCAUAAUGCCACUGAAUUGAUACUAUAUUAUUUGUGUUCAUGCAAAUUACCUCUUAACUCACGUUUACAGAUGAACAUGUUGAACAAGUUGAAAUUUCAAAAAAGCAAAGAUUAAUAGAAGACAAACUAAUAAUGGUUAUGGUUGGUUAUUCAUGCUGCUAUAGAUAAGAUCAUGAUGUCAACAUUUCCAUUUGAAACUCUUAUUUUCCACAAUUUAUAACUUGGUCAUAAAAAUAAAUUCACUGUGUCCUAAGUUAGUGUUAUGGUAUCAGCUGGGAAAGGAUUACUUUUUCUUCUCCAUUUUUAAAAAUAGCUUUACUAUUUUAACAGCUUAAGUUAACAAUUUAACAACUUAAGAUAUCCCCACAUACAGAAAAUGGCUUUAGUGCCUGGGUGAACCAGGCCAUUGCCAGGGAUGGUAGCUAUCUGACCUGACAGCUCUAGGAGUCCGCCUGGGGGUGACUCUCAGUCUGGCUCAGGGCUGGGUGUUUCUUCUCACCAACCACACACCUGCUAUUGUUUCUACCUGUCCAGAGACCCUUUCUUCUCGGAGGUACCCUCUUCUGCCUUCCCUUUCCUUCCCUAAGCCUUGGUAGAUAUGUAUUCAUUUGCCUAAUCAUUCACCAAAGUGCAUUCACUGAACAUAUACAGUGUGACCAGCCAGGUGUUGUGGGUCACAGUGGUGACCAGAGAAGAUAUGGGAAAAUUAAGAAACCACCAGAUUUCCUUACAUUAAAAUGUAGUAUUGUUUAACAGCUUAGAGUCCAGAAUUGUGAUGCUCCAGCUUUGGUUUUCUUUUUCAACAUCACUUUGGCUAUUUGAGGUCUUUUCUGGUUUCAUACCAUUUUAGGCUUGUUUGUUCUAGUUAUGUGAAGAAUGCUGUGUUAUUUUGAUAGGGAUUGCAUUGAAAGUGUAGAUUAGUCUGGGUAGUAUAGACAUUUUAACAAUAUUUGUUCUUCCAAUCCAUCAACAUAGAAUGGUUAAGCUGUAUUAUGAAGCUCUAAUCAUGAAGACAGUAUAGUAUUGGCACAAAAACAGACACAUAGAUCAGGAAUAGAAUAGAUAAGCCAGAAUUGGACCUGCAAAUGUAUGGCCAACUGAUCUUUGACAAAGCAGAAAACAGUAUCCAAUGGAAAAAAAAUAGUCUUUUCAGCAAAUGAUGCUGGGAAAACUGGACAGUGACGUGCAGAAGACUGAAACUGGACCACUUUAUUACACAAUACACAAAAAUAAAUUCAAAAUGGAUGAAAGACCUAAAUAUGAGAUAGGAAACCAUCAAAAUCCUACAGAAGAAAACAGGCAACAACCUCUUUGACCUAGGCCACAGCAAUUUCUUACUAGACAUGUCUCCAGAGGCAAGGGAAAUAAAAGCAAACACGAACUAUUGGGACCUCAUCAAGAUAAAAAGCUUCUGCACAGUGAAGGAAACAAUCAACAAAACUAAAAGGCAGCCAACAGAAUGAGAGAAGAUGUUUGCAAAUUACAUAUCAAAUAAAGGGUUAGUAUCUAAAAUCUAUAAAGAAACUAUCAAACUUAACACCCCCAAAACAAUCUAGUGAUGAAAUGGGCAGAAGGCAUGAAUAGACACUUUUCCAAAGAAGACAUUCAGAUGGCCAAGAGACAUAUGAAGAGAUGCUCAACAUUACUCAUCAUCAGGGAAAUACAGAUCAAAACCACAAUGAGAUACCACCUCACAUCUAUCAGAAUGGCUAAAAUUAACAACUCAGGAAACAACAGAUGUUGGUGAGGAUGCAGAGAAAGGGAACUCUUGCACUGUUGGUGGGAAUGCAAACUGGUGCAGCCUGUCUGGAAAACAGUAUGGAGAUUCCUUAAAAAUUUAAAAAUAGAACUACCCUAUGACCCAGAAAUUGUACUGCUAGGUAUUUAUCCAAAGUAUACAAAAAUGCUGAUUUGAAGGGGCACAUGCACCCCAAUGUUUAUAGCAGCACUAUCAACAAUAGCCAAAGUACAGAGAGAGUCCAAAUGUUCAUCAAUUAACUGAUGAAGGGAUAAAGAAGACAUGGUGUGUGUGUGUGUGUGUGUGUGUGUGUGUGUGUGGAUACAUUAUAUAUAUAUAUAUAUAUAUAUAAUAUAUAUAUAUAUAAUGUAUACAUAUUACAAUGGAAUACUACUCAGUGAUCAAAAAGAAUGAAAUCUUGCCAUUUGCAGCAAUGUGGAUGCAGUUAGAGUGUAUUAUGCUAAGUGAAAUUAGUCAGUCAGAGAAAGACAAAUAUCAUAUGAUUUCACUCAUAUGUGGAAUUUAAGAAAUACAACAGCUGAACAUAAGGGAAAGAAAGGAAAAAUAAGAUAAAAACAGAGAGGGGGCAAACCAUAAGAGACUCAAAUACAGAGAACAAACUGAGGGUUGCUAGAGGGGAGACAGGUGGAGGGAUGGGCUAAAUGGGUGAUGGGCAUUAAGGAGGGCACUCGCUGGGAUGAGCACUGGGUGUCGUAUAUAAGUGAUGAAUCACUGGGUUCUACUUCUGAAACCAAUACUACAUUAUAUGUUAACUAAUUUAAAUAAAUAAAUUUUUUAAAAUGUAGUAUUGUUUUAUGUUAGAUUUCAUGGUGGAGUCCAUGUUUUGGUUCCUCAGAGGUCCUAAUCUGGUGGCAGGAGAUACCCUUAGCUAUCUACAGUAGUAAAUAAAACAGACUAUAAAUGAUUAGGCAAAGAAAUAAGCCUCAUCAUUUCAGGUGGUGUUGAGUACAACAAAGAAAUGAAAAAGAUGCCUGAUUGAGAGUGACGGGUGUUGUGGGUGAGACCAGUUUAAACUGGGUAUUAAUUGCAGGCUUCAUGGGGAAGUGGCAUUUAACUUGAGAAUAUGGCAAAAGGGCUCAAGCUGUUUGAAGACCAGGGGAGUGGCAUGUCUAGGCAGAGGGACAGCUGGUGCAAAGGCCCUGUAGCUGAAGUGAGUUUGGCAUGUCAGAUGACAGCAAGGUGCCCAGGAAAACUGGAACACUCAGAGCAGGUGAGGCAGUGGUCUCAAAGGGGCAGGGCCUCAAAGGGCAAGUGAAGGAGGCUGGCUGGAAUUUUAGGUCCCCUCCCUUGGAAGCCUAGGCCCUUAUCCAUAGGAUUCCUUCCUGUCUGGUCUUCUUCAUUCAGUUGAAAUAGAUUUGCUUUUUACCACUUUUCUUAAUUUAUAUUUUAAUUGUAAAAAAUAGUAAUAUAAAUUCAAUGUACAAAAAGUCAGAUAAUAUAGAAAAGAUGAUACUAUUUGAAGUUCAUCUCACUAGAACUUUAUUGUUUGCAAAAUAGGUAUUUACAGACACACGCAAAUACAUUUAACAAAAACAUGAUCACAUACAUCUGAUUUAUUAGCUGCUUUUUUCACUUAACACAUUGAAUGUCAUUUACCAUCAUUAACAUAGACCUACAAUGUAACUUGAAGUGAUGCAAAGCCAUUUUAUGAGCAUGCCCUGAUUUACCCAAUUCUGCAGUGAACAUCUGUGCACAUUCAUCUUCAAGCACUUGCCUCAUGGUUUAUUUUGGACACAUACCUAUAACUGGUGUGGAUGGGUCAGUCUUUGGGUUGUGCAUGCAAUUGCAGAGCCCUGUUCCUAGAAGAUGUGAGGGUACUUGGUCAGGCCUCCCAGAAGAGCAAGAGAGCUUUCCUCACUCCCCUGGUGGGCAGAGCCCCAGGCCAUAUCUGCUGUCUCCAGCUCCAUCUGUCUUGACCAAAGGUCAGAGCUCAUGUGGCCCCUGUCUUUAGUUGUCACCAGCAAGACAGGCUGGGUUCUUUUAUGAUCUAGAUUUUCUUUCCACAGAAGUGCUGGGAAGUCAUUAGUGUCUGGCAGGGUAUUUGGCCUCACCAUGAGACAAAGUUACAGGGAAAGGAGGUGGUGAGCCUCAGCUGGGGACGGGCUAGACAGAGGGAAGGUGAGACAACCUUCAGAACUUUCAGAUGUUCACAUCCUGUUCCUGGGAAGAGGUCUACCAAGUGUUCCCAUCUCUUCCAGGCCAAGCCAGGGGGACACCUCUCACUGCAGGAGCUGAUGGGGGAACCAGUGACUCCUUCCACAGAGGCAUCUGCCCAGUGCUUGGCUGCCACCCAUGUUUGCUCCAUCCUGAUUAGCGGCAUUGUCCUCAGGCCUGCCUUCUGUCAUGCACCCACCUGAUCUUUCUUGCCUUCCUUUCCUUCCCUGCCCCACCUACCCCAAGCACCUCAGGGUUCCUUCCUCCCCCAAGUAUCAGGCUCUGUCUCCAGUCAGGGUAAUCACUGCCUGGGUACUUCUCUAUCUCUGGAGCACAAGAGCCCACAUAAGCAUUUGCUAACUUUGCUUCAACCAGCACAUAUUUCUUGGGCUCCAUCUGUGUGUAUAACAUGCCAUUAUAGGUUGAAUAGAAGGAAUUCAGUCAUUCUGCUGCAGCUGUGGACAGAGCAAUACUUCAGUGGGGGAAACUCUAGUACAAGACUCAAUCCCCACCCUAAGGAGUCUAUUUAGUGGAGACAGAAUAUAGGGUGGUGCCUUGGAACCUAAUGAGAGUAUCAACAUUACAUCCUACAGCAGUUCAGAAGAGGGAGAUUGGUGAGAAUCAUAGUGCUAAAAUACUAAUCAGCAUACAAUCUGCACUGCUGACUGCCUAUUGAGCCCUUGCCCUCCCUUCCUGUGAUAUACACUCUCUUAUAAUCUCCAUUUUACCAUGAGAAAGCUGGGACCAGGAGAUAUGGAACGAGAAGCAGAGGCUGGGCAUUGACCCAGGUCUGCCUAAGCCUUCCAGGGCUUCCCCAGACAUAGAGCUUGCACUGGACCUAGACCCAGAGGAGAUGUGUGAGAGGACACUGGUGCUGCAGGUGAGCACCCACAAAGGCCAAGCCAGGGGAUUGGAGUAACUCAGACCUUUGUGCAGAGCCACCAAGUCCAUGGUUCUAGCCUUUCAUCUUUCAUUUUCCCCAUCCCUUCCAGCUCUACAUUAACAGGAGAAAUCAUCAGUUAUUUGGAUUCAAAUUUGACAAAUCAAAUUGCAAAGAAUUAAAUAAGUUGUAGAUCAAUACCAUCCAAAUGGUCAAUUAAUCAUUCCAUGUAAUUAAAACUACCAAUUCUUAAUACCUUUCAAUUAUAUUUUAUUGCACAAUUUCUAAUUCAGAGCUUGUAGGCAAUUGUAUUGAUUGUAGGUAUACUUGGUAAUCAAAUAAUUUAUUAAUCAGCACACCUAGUUAUGGGAGAUCCGGUUUAAUUACCAUCACCUAGACACAGAAGUCAGGUUUAAUUCUACUUGGGCUUUUCUUAAGAUGUUGGAGGUUUACCAUUUCAUUUUGCUGUGUGUGUCACACAAAAUCCCUUAUUUUGUGAAAAAGAGUUAUAAGAAAAAUAGGCAAGGGUACUUACAAAACAGGUAAAUGGACAAACUCAAGUGGUUCUUCAAAAUUAUGUUUUAACUUUAAUCUUUUUCAUGGAGGUUUUACACCUUAAUUUAUUCCUGGUAUGCUUGGGAAACUGCUCUCAAGAUUUAGGGAUGAAAGGGCUUUUGGACGUACAAAUGGGUACUGCCUUCAUGAUUACCUUGAAAUAAAAAUUAAAUACCAAGCACUUCACGCUUCCUAUGUCCAUCAAUUCUGAAAUAAGUGCAAGUAAAAUUUCUUAUUUAACAUGUGAAUUUGUUAUUCCAGUGGCAAUGCUGAAUAACUGGUGGUUUGAUUUAACUUCCUCAAUGUUUUCUGAGCAUCAUUGUAAAAGGGAAAUAAUAACCUUGUAAUUGUGUCGUGCAGAUCCUGCAGGAGCUCUGGGUGGGCCUGAGCCUCCUUCCUGCUUCACAUUCAAGGUCUCAGGAAUGUCUUGGAGUCUCAGGGCCCAAGAUGAAGGGGCUUCUCCUGGGCCUUUUUCUGCAAACAUAGGGCCCAGGCAGUAGUCUGAAUCUCAGCUUCUCCUGAGUAAUGGGCAAAGUUUCCACAGAGGUUUUGAGUUGAGUCCAAGCUGAGUGGGUCCAGAACUUCAUGCUUGGAAACAAGAUGAUAGAAGGUACAGAACUCUGAUACCCUGGGGCAGAGGGAGGAGACACUAUGGAGGAGGGAGACACUCUACAUUAAUACCUCCUUUGUCCUCUACAGGCUGCCCAAGGUUUUUCAACUUAUCUGUUCACUUAUGCCCCACUACUCUUCCCUCCAGAAAAUGUGUUAAUUCUCCCUGAAAAGAGUUUAUCCUAAAACCAUCUCUCCCAAGGUUCUUCCCACUCUGCAGGGAGUGGGAAGAAAGCCUUAAUAUGACACAUGACACACGACAUGUGGAAGACACAGUGGACCAUGUGCCAAAUGCUCCCAUGUGAGAACACAUUUUCACAUGGGAGUUCAUGUGAAAACUUUCAUAUUGAGUUCUUGUGGAGUCAUUGUGGAGUCAUUGUGGAGCUCAAGGCGAGCUGGUGAGAAAUGAGACAGCACCAUCCCAUGCUGCUGCAUGCUGUGUGCAUGACUCUUCAUGAUGGGAUGCUGUAGUAGGCAGAACUCUAAGAUGACCCCAAGAUUCACACCCCCUAUAAUAUGCUCUGUUCACCUUGAUGGUGGGCGGGCCUGACCUAAUCAGGUGAGCCCUUGUCAAAGAGCGUCUAGAGGUUGGGAAUGGAAGAGAUCAGAGAGAUCCAAAGACAGAGAUUCUCCUGCUAGUCUUGAAGGACAGUUGCCAUGUUCUGGAGAGGGCUAUGUGGCAGGGAACUGUUGUGGCUUCUAGGUAGGUGCUGACAGUCUCAGUCCAACCACAAGGAACUAGGUUCUGACAGUACAAGUGAGCUUGGAAAAGGACUCUGAGCCUCAGAUAAGAUCACACAGCCCUGGCUGACCCCUUGAAUACAGCCAGGAGAGACUGAGAAGAGGACUCAAAUGAGCCAUGCUGGACUACUGACCCACAGAAACUGAGAUAAUAAAUGGACAUUAUUUUGAAUGGCUAUGUUUGUGAUAUUUGCUACACAAUAGAAAACAAAUAAAGGACCCAGAGGUGGAGACCUCCAGGAGGCUCUUCUCUCCCACAUAGCUUCUAUUCUGCCCACUGGAAACUAUUUCCCUCUACCGCUGCCUUCAGGCCUCUGGGGAUGUGAGGUUCCCUCUGCCUGCUCCCCUUCUCCCAGAAGCUGACCCUGAGACAAUUUGAGAGCAUGAUGUUUAUCUGGGAGGUGGAGAGAACACCAUUAAAGAAGGGAGGAAGUGAGACAAGGAUGGGAAGACAGCCAGUAGCAUUAUCAAGCCAGUUACCACCAUGGGCAACUGGGGCUGAAUCCUACAUGGAACCCCUGGGGGACAGUGUAGAACACAGUCAGAGUUACCUAUUCAAAGGAAGCCAGUGAAGAAGCUGCCAGCCAGUGUUGGAGGGCUCCUGGGGAUGGGAUGGGCUGGGCAAGAGAGAGUUUUCAGGCAGAGAGAUUCAGAGGCUGGCAUCUGGAGGUCCAGGGAAGGGAUACAGACAGGACCUUGCAACACCUGCUAUACUUGAUUUUCUACCUACCUCCUCCUCCUGCAUCUUCAUGGCUCCAGUCACAUCUCCCCUUCCCAGGCAGCAUCCUUUGGGCCCUCCUGUUUCAUCAUGCUCUGCCAUGGAGGCUUUGUUCCUUGGCCUUACUCCCUACAUCUGGUGGUGUUUUCUCAUUGUGUGUGAUGCAACUUGGCACACAACAUGGCUGUUUCCCCCUGAAACCAUGAGCCUUUCCAGGUCAGUGCCUGAGUCCCCAGCUUUAGCUACAGUCUUAGUAUCUAAUAGCUUCUCAACAUUCAUUCAGUGGAUGGAUACGUGAAUCAUAUUUUUUCUGAGGUACAUAGGUUGAACUAGGUGAUUUCAGAUCCCUUCAGCCAUCUCCCAUCAUCUCAGUCCUCUCUUCCCCUCAUCCUGCUCCUUCUUCUCCAUAGAACACAUCGCCAUCUGGUAUAUACAUUUGUUGUCUAAUCUCCCCGCACCUAGAAUGUAAGGUCCUAAAGGCCACUUUUAUUUAUUUUGUUCACUGCUGUAUUGCUAGCAGUGGUCACACAUCAUUGCCUGGCACAUAGAAGUCACUGGGUAAAAAUCUUUUAAAUGAAUGAUACUCCAAGAGCCCCUAAUUACAAUAAUAUUAACUUAUUGAGCAAUUCCCAAACUUUAUUGUAUCUUGACAACAAAACUCUGAGAUAACUAUUCUCAUCCAUUCUCAGAUGAGGAAGUAGACUCAGACAGAUUCAGCUACUUCCCCAAGUGACUCAGGCAGGAAGUGGAGUUGGGAUCAAGCCUUGUCAGCCUCACUCAGGAGCCUGGGUUCUUAGCAAGCAUUCUAUAUACAUGAGUUUAAUUAACUCAAUAAAUUUUUCAGGGGGUACAUAAUACAAUGAAGGUAUAAAAAAGAAGGGAGUAGUUUUUGGUAUUACUGCAGCAGCUUGCUUGGCAAAAGAUGGAUGUGUGGCUGAUAGGAAACUGAUAUGGUUUUCAACAAAGCCUGCAAAUUAAUCAUACUUAAUGAAUGUGACUAAUGUGUUAAAGGAACAAGCGAUUAAAAUAUUAGCACGUCUGAACUUCUCCUCCCUGGCUAAUUUCUUCUCCUCCCUAGGGUUACCAUCUUUCAAAGAGGUAGGGACACAAGAUUACGGAAACAGAUUUUAUGGAACAGAAAUGUAUUUUAAAUGGCUUAAAUUGGGGACAGUCUGUGCAGUUCUCAAGUGGCUGUCAGUCUUCACAUCUCGCUGCUCAAGUGAGGGACGUGGGCUGAGGGGAGAGGCUGAAACUGUCACAGCAACUGCAACUGGAAAUGGGAAGCCAGGCAUCUCCCGGAGUAAUGACGUGGAAACAGGAGACAGACGUGGGGGCCCUUCAGCAGGAGGCUGAUUGCCUUUCCAUUUAGGCACAAGGUGAGAUGAAAGUGGCUGAGGAGGCAUGUCUCCUGAGGCAGGCCACAGGCGGCUCACUGGCUCUGCACAUUAUCCAGGAUCAUAGGCAGAAUGGCUGGGUUAUACCUGUGUUCUGAGGACGAUCUUUGGAGCACCCAAGCACAGUCUUCUUAGAACACACUCCCCUCCCAGACUCCACACAUACACACCCAUUUCCCAGAUGGAAACAUCCAGACUAUAGGGAACAAGACAUCUCAAAAGACUAGGGAUGGGGAGAGUCCCUUGUGUUUUGACAUCCUACUACUCUUGGCAACAGAUCAGGUUUGUUCAUGGAAUUAUAUAAACCUGAGGUCCCACACUCAGAGACCUCAGCAGAUAGGAGGAUAGGAGCCGAUAUAAUUCAGUGAAGCAGAUAGGGUAAGGAAGAACCCUGAUCAGCAAGCAAGUCCUUACCUCACUGUUUUUCUAUGUGAGGAUCUGGGACUAAUGUGGUGGUUAGAUCUUCAGUUUGUGUGUGUGCAUGUGUGUGUGUUAGUUUCUUAUUGCCACUGUAACAAAUUACCAAAAGUUUAGUAGUUUAAAGCAACACAAAUUUAUUAUUUUACAAUUCUGGGGGUCAGAAGUUUAAAAUGGGUCCACAGUGCUGUUACUUCUGGAGGCUCUAGGGAACAACCUGUGCUAGCUUCCAGAGGCUGCCCCAACUCCCUGGUGCCAGGCACCAUUCCUCCAUCUUCAGUCAGUAGCAUAACAUCUUCUCUCUCUGAUAAGGACGCUGUGAUUACACUGGGCCCACCCAAACAAUCCAGGAUAAUCUCCCCAUCUUGAGAUCCUUAAUCAUAUCUGCAACAUCCUUUUGCCAGGCAAGGUAAGAUCCCAGGAAUUAGGACACAUGCAUCUUUACUGGGGGGCACUAUUCUAUUACACUGGGUAGGUAGAAAUACUCAGAACUUGUAAAUGCUAGCAAAUAAUUUUGGGGUUUAUAUUACUGAGUAUGCCAUAUUGUCACCAGCUGGACCCCAAGACCUGGCCUUUACUGCCCACCUGCUUGUAUUCACUAACCUUCGUCUUACAUUUUCCCCUAAGCUCUUCUUUUUGGCUUUCCUCUUGACUCAGACAAAUGAAACCUAAAAUGAAACUCAGGCAAAUGAAACCUAAAACUCCCCAGAUGAAGGCGAUUGCCCUGAUAGGACCUCCCUCAGGCUCAGACCACUCGGACCCUUUGAGUUAAACCUGUCUGUACAGAUGGGUGAAGUGACCCCUGGAAUGACCUACAAUUACCUUUGCCUUAUUAUAAUAGUAAAAUCUCUGCCCAUGAAGGAGGCUCAGCCUCAUUUACAUAGCAUACAUUGUAUGUGUAGGCAUGUUUCCUCCCUGCGCAUGUGUGACCUUACUCCCAUCUCUACAUAGGAUAACAAGGCUUCCCUAUCUAAAUAUUUAUCCUAACCCUAAAGAAAAGGAAUCCAUCUACUCUCUCUGAGGGAGUCAUGACUUUGGAAGCUAUUCCCCCAUGAUCUCUUUAUUUCCUGCAAAUAAAAGUUUUCUUUGUGGGGCAACUCCACCUGGUGCAGUUUCUGACUCACAAAGAGGGAACUCAUGUUGGUUUCUUCAUCUGGGAAGGACUGAGGAGGAGAGGAGAGUGUGGGUCUCCAGUCUUUGACCUCUGACCUCUGCUUUAAACAAGCCAUUCAUUUGUUAAAAGGAGGGCUUUGUGUCCCCUCUCCUCCUUCCUGCUUCUUUCUUGUACUUUGCUCUUCAGAGUGCCUGGGGGACAGAAGGUUACCAAACAUUUACACUUCUAGGUCCCUGGCUAUUUCCCCCCUACCCCAAAUUCGCUCCCACACCCUGAUUUAUAAAAAAUAACACUUACUAGGCUCUUGCUGUGUACCAAAGACUAAGUACUUUAUUCGCUUUAUUUCUUUUGUUCCUCACAGCAAUUUCAUUUUUAUCCCCAUUUUACAGAUGAUCAAUCUGAAGCUCAGCAUUGCCCAAAGUCACACAACUACAAGGUUCAGAGCUGGUAUGCAAACCAGGUUGUUUGCCUCUAGAGUCCUUCAAGAUGUAGAUUCAAGGAAAGAGAAGCUGAAGCAUGAAAGCUAACAGCCCCUUCGGUUAAAAACAAAACAAAACAAAAAACUAGCAAGUGGAUGAACUUCCGAUAUACCUGCCAUUCCUGGAUUCUACCCUCCAUCUUAUGUGAGAGGAUCAAUAUUCAGCCCCAGAGUUACCCCCUUCCCUGCUACAACUCUGGACUGGAACCCAGUGUUGGAGAAGUGAAUAGAGUGCGCCAAAGAUGGCCAACAGGGCUAAAACAGACUCUGGUCUCUAGCUUAGAGACCCCUCUUCCGGGUUCUUCUUCCUUUGUUUGCUGUGCAUGGGAAAACCCCCAUAGAUAUGGAAGCUGACGACUAUAAAUUAUCCUCCCCACUUGCAUUCGGCACUCAGACCUUUGGAGAAACAGUCUCCUCUGAGCCCACCAGUGUUAAAUAAAUCUCCAAUGCAC